rnacentral:lncRNA from 1 species
AAACCCUAUUAAUUAUCUGCGUAGUUAAGUAGUCUCGUAAAUCAAUAAUCAAUAAUGUUGUCGAAUGACUGACCGUCCCUAAAGCAAGUGGUAAAAGACUUGGUGGUUGGUAUCCGAGACCCAAGUUGAAAUCAUAGUUGAUUGACAUUUCCAACUAAGUUUAUUUCUAAAUGAAAUAAACGAAAUUGGUAGCUUACUAUCUAUCUCUCCAAAAAAAAAAAAAAAAAAAAUGUUGUUGAAUGCGUCUGGAAUUUUUGUAAGAAGAGAACUUUACAUAUCUGGGGCUCAAAUUUUGUGAGAUGUAUAUUCGAAAUUUUCGUCCACCGUCACUCAUUAAUGUAGUAAUUAGUCACAUCAUAUAAAUUACUAUUUGUUGUUUUUUUUAAUUCUCUUAGAUAUUUUUUGCCCUGAUAUACUAGAUCUUGUUUCCUUGGAGGGGGAAAAAAAUGGUGUGUAAAAAUCAUGAUAACUAAGCACUAGAAUAACAUGAGAGUUAAUUUGAGGAGAUCGGUCCAUGGUGAGCCUGGUCCAGUAACCAAUUUCUCCUUAAAAACAGAAGGAAACAAAAAAAAAAAGAAAAAAGAAAAGAAAAAUAAAAAAAGCUAAAAGCAACCGCGCUUUGUACUCGAGGCGGUAAUCGGUCAUUUCUAUUUGGGCUGCGGUGGGCCCAGCACUACGCAGCCACGAGAUUGGAUGGGAGAGAUCAGGGAUAAUUAUGUGGGCCCGGCCCAUCUGGGGCCCACUGACGGGUGGCUUCCGUCCACGCAAUCGACGGUGUGACGCGUCGCGGUUCGUGAGCCGGCGCGAGGGCGGGUGGGGCCCAGUGGAUGGUCAAAUCAUACGCCGUGACACGUGGCACCCAAUCAUUUACGUUUACGCUUUAUAUCUCCUGUCCAUACACACCCCCCCAAAGCGGGCCCCUCUCCCCUCCCCCAGUGUUCCAUCAUCUCAGACAUUUUUUGUCCUAUUACCAUAAUUACCAAAAUACCCCUGAAGCACCGGAGUAUGAGUUGCCAACGUACAGCACACCGCUAUAAUUAAACGUUGUCAUCAAAUUAAAGUAGUAGUACUCUCUAAUUUUUAUUUUAUUUUUUUUUUUUUACAGAAAAAUAAUUUGAACGAAAAUUUGCAUUAAAAAAUAUUAUUAUUGUACAGAAAAAUUGUGUGGAGUAGUUUCAGAAAUAAACAGCUAGUAACAACUAGUUAGGACAGAAUGGCUAGCUCUAAUUGUAUCAUUGGAAGAGGAUGUCAACUCUUGUUUUUAAAUUGUCGAGACCUCAAAAAAAGAGAAGGACAAAUCACGUUAGUUGUUGCACAAGACAUUUCAGAUCCUAUUUAAUGCUAGUUUUCAUCCAUUACCACGAUCAAGCAACGGUUUUAUCUUCUUUUCAUUUUGCUUUUUUAUUUUUUAAGAAAAAAGUAAUAUGCUAGCUAUUCGUUUCGUUCAUUUUUUAAAAAUAAAUUCAACUGAAAAUAUAAAAUAAUUAGGUGUCAAAUUAGAGAUCUCAUAUACCAACCAUCAGCUCCUUAACUAGAUAUGUUAGAUAUGGUUGGUUUUUCUGAAAUUAUUUUUUUUGCUAUUCAGUUUAGAGGUUAUCUAGACUUUUUGUCUUUCAUAUUUCUUAAGCUAGUUUAGCCACAAUCUAUGAUAUUUAAAAAAUUACUAUGACAGCCCAAAACAUAUUAGAAUGAAAAAAGAAAAAAUUGUCUAUCAAAUUAGGCACCAAUAUUUUUGUAAAUAAACUAGCACUAAUAAAUUUUAACUCAUGUCUAAUUAAAUUUUCAGAACCCAAUAAAAAAAAAUAGGCGCACUCUUUUUCAAUACAUAUAUACCUAGCUUCAAUUUAUUACCUCUGCGAAAAAUAUGGUGCAAAAUAGUUCUAUAAUUUGCACAAUAUAUUAUUGCACAAAUUUAUAUGCUCAUCGAUGAUCACUAACGCAAGUGGUAAAAAGCUUAGCGAUUAGUACCUGAGGUCUUAAAUCUGAAAUUUAAUUAUUUUGUAUUUUCAACUAAAUUUAUUUAAAAAUAAAUAAAUAAAAUAAAUAGAAUAAUAUCUUUCUCUCAAUAAUAAUAAUAAUAAUAAUAAUAAUAAUAAUUCCCAAGAAGACAAGGGUGGAAGGGCAAUUAAUUGUUAUGGGGGCUGGGAGUGCAAAGAUAACAACCUCUGCAACACCCGGAUCAUGUUCCGCAAAAGCGAUGUACGCUGUACCACCACCCAACUCCUCCUCUCUUGUCUCGGGAUGUGACCUUUUCUCUCAUCUUUUAACUAUGUUAUCCAGCCAUUUGCUUUACAUCCACACACACACACACACACACACACACACUCACUCUCUCUCUCUCUCUCUCUCUCUCUCUCUCUCUCUCUCUCUCUCUCCACCCUCCCUACUCUUCUUACCUAGUUUCAAUUUUUUUUGUUGCUAUUAGAAUUUAAAAAGUUGAAUAAAGUUUUGAAUGGAUGAUUUUUAUCUACAUGUAGUAUUCGAAAAAAAAAAAAGAAAAGAAAAAAAAAAUUAAUAGCAAAAAUAAUGUCUAAUUAGUUUUGUUGAACAUAAAUAUUAAAAAAUGAAUUCAGUAAUGCAUAGUACGAAAAUAAUAAUAUUUUAUUAUGAAAUAAUAUUAUUUUUUACUAUUAUGGUGAGGAGGAUGAUUGUUAGUUGUGAUAAGAUGGAAGAUAAAAAAAAGGUCACAUGGGCAAUGUGUUUGUUGUGUCCCUUUUGGAGGCUACUGGAGCUUAGCUUUUGUACAUAAAUUAUAUGUGUGUGUAGAUGAUGAUCAUGCACCGGCCAUGUCCUGUAAACCCCAGCAAUAAAAAGUUCUCUGCUUCCAUGUGCUCCAUCUUUUCACAACAGGGAACACUCCCCUCCCCUCCCUUUCCCCUCUCCCAAAUGAUCCCCCCAAGUGAGAUCCGCGUGACUUAAAAUGACGGCUGCGGACUAUUUUGCCCCUGUUCACCCUUUUUGGACCUUUCGUGUUACAUUUAUCCUAUUAAUGAUCACGCGCCCCGUUCACGAGCAGCUCGUGUUCAGUUACAAAUUUACAAACUUUUUUUUUUUUUCGACAGAUAGGUAGCACACUAUCUGCUACGUUUAUUUUAUUUAGAAAUUAACUUAGCUGAAAAUGUGAAUCAACUAGGAUUCAAACUUGGAACCUUGGAUAUCAACCACCAAGUUCUUUGCCACACUUGCUCUAGGGACGGUCGGUAACUUACAAACUUAGUUAAAAUACAUAAAUUAAGCUUUAGUUUAAUUAACUUAACUUAGAGAGUGUUUGAUUGAAGUAACAGGUAAUAAUACUUCACCGUUUUUCGAAAAAAUAAGAAAAAAUAAUAAGUAAUGGUACGAUGGCUUCUAUGCAUGAAUCUUACCAAUAAUACCUUGACUGAGAACCCCGAGCUUUUCUUUUCUGAAAAGAAAAAAAAAAAAUUGAGCUUCAUAUGAUUAAAACUUUAAGAUUUUUUUAAAGAAAAUUGACACACAUUAAUUCUGUAACGUUCUGUUUUUCAAUGUUUAAAUAUGGUGUGAAAACUACAAUGGUCAAACGCAAGAAAGUUUGUUAACUAAAGUCAUAUAUUGCACAUCUUGAAAUUUUUGAAUAAUUAAUUUGUCAACAAUGAUUAGUCGUGACUAAUGACACAACCUUACGUCGCCCGUGAGGCACCCAUAGUCUUUUCCUUCCGUUUUAUUUUUUUUUAGGCCUUAUUCUUUUUACACUCAAAUUGGAAUUAUCUGCCAAGUUGUUUAACCACAGAUUCUCCACUUAAGAAAAAAUCGGUCAAAGGUAAUUAGGUGGAAUAUUAUGGGUCGAAGUAGGCGCUGAUUCUCUCAUUCUAAGCUUUCGGUUACACAUUAAUCGAAUACCCACAAAUUAGUGGCCUUCUUAUGUAGGCAUAUAUGGAGGGUUAGUUGAAGACCCAAAUCUGCGUCUAAUUCUUACGCAUGGAAUUUGUGCGGGCCCCUUACGUACGCAAUUGCACCAUUAACAAAUGCUUUAAUUAAUCAGAUCAAUGACUUGCUCAUCAUGGGGUUUUGAUAGCAAAGUAGACUAAGCGUUCGUCGUGUGCUCAAACAAAGGAUGCGUAUCAUCUGACAUAUAUAUAUAUAUAUAUAUAUAUAUAUAUAUAUAUAUAUAUAUAUAUAUAAUUAAUUGGAUGCCACACAAUGUUGUCAUUAAUGUUGAAUGAUCACAUCUUUGAAGUGGUAAUCCAUAAAGGUGAGCAUGAGCUGACAUUUGAAGGGUCUGAGUCCAAAAUUCAAUCGCACGAGUUGCGAAUAACAUCUGUUUCAUAUAAUCACCAUGCUAUAUGCACACCACCUAGGAAAUUCGUUAACGGUACCCCGCUAUGCACCAAAAAACAACCAUUAGAUGUUCGAGUAUAUACGAAUAAAAAGUUCAAAAUUUUUUCUCCAGUCGAAAGCGAUUUCGACUUAAUUAUAGGCCUUAUAAACAGAAAGUCCAAUGUGAACCAUAUUUUCGCUAUGAAAUUGAAGAAAUUAAAUAAUAAACGAGCUGUUAACCAAACAACCACAGAGUCAUGCUCAUAGUAGAGACAAAGAAGACAAUUAUUCUUCAAGCAUCCAUCAGCUCCGCGACUGCGUUCCGAUUAAAGCUUUCUAAAACAAUAAUUAAAUACGCGUACAGAUCAAACUACCAACAAUAACGAGCGUCAGCUCUUGGAAGUUUAUGCCCGAAAAGCUGUUUGUCAAAAGCUUCUUAACACUUGUAUUAGUUUAAAACAGCUUUUGUGGUGCGAGCGAAUUAACUGGAAACACGUUCAUAUAUAUAUUAAUGGUUGGUCCGUGAACCCCAACGAGUCCAAAUAAAAAUAAAUUUAUAAAAAUAAAUUUGGCCUUACACCUCAACUUCACUAGUCGUGACAAAGAGCGAACCACAUGAGGUUCACACCUCCUUGACUUGGUCUACACUUUGGGCUGCAACUACGCGUUUGGGUGGAGCCCAAAGUGACCCAACCAACCAAAAUAGUUGGUUUGAACAUAAAUUACAAGGGUUAGUUCAAAACACAAAAAAGAUUAAUUGGUUAAUUAGCGUGUGUGUAUAUAUAUAUAUGUAUAUAUCAUUUGAAUGAUCAUCAAUAAAGGACAAAAUAAUUAAGGAGCAGCAAUAUUCAUGUUUAAUAUAUGGAUGGUAUUGAGAAAAUGGUGAACAGCUAGCUAGCUGUUUCGUUGAAGACAUAGGUGUGGCAAUGAUGUUGGUAAAGUAUAAAUAACAUAUUAAACUUGAUAAGGUUUAUUAAUUGUGUCUAAUUGAAAAAAGUUUUCAAUUAAUUGUGGUCGAUCUGAAUCUCACGAUCAACCUAGCUACCAGCCUGACUACCCUAACUUCGGGUAGAGUUGGGUAAGGAGUACUGCUUCAUGAUGGGAUUAUAAUGGCAAUUUUCUGGCCCACUAAAACUUAAUUUUCCUCCUAUUUUAGGUAGUUUUCGUUGAAAAUCAUCGUAGGUGCACAAACCAGAAAGGAACUUGAUUGAUCGAACGAGCCAGAUGAGAACACGAGACGAAACUGGGUUGAAAGCAAAAGUGUGGGCCAAAGUUUGGUAUAUACGUACCCUGUUAUUCAAAGUAAUCAACUUAAAACGAUUGCUGAACUUAUUCUGAUACGUGAAAAUGCUAUAUUUUACAUUACGUACAGAGCAAGUAGCUAAUUGUUAUCAUCUAAUAUUAAUUAGACUAAUAUAGGUUCAAUGAGAGACGUAUAUCCAGUUCACUUGGUUUAGAGAGAGAGGGGGGGAGCCAUACAUGUAGAGAAGGAACGCGAGAGAAAUUCUUUGAAAUUCCAAGUUCGAAAAAACGAGAGGGACGAGGGAUACAUGCAUGUACAUAUAAAAUGAUUGAUAAUCCACGUAAUAUAUAUAUAUAUAUAUAUAGGUGAUCUACACUGAUCGAUGUGGGAGUAGUGGAUCAUUUAAUUUGGAAGGGUGGGUAAUAGAGUAAGGCAUGCAUUUAGCACCAUCCCAGCAAUACUGUAGGGGCCGGGCCGGGAGGAGCAACUGCGGUCUAAUUCAACUCCGACCACCCACCGACAAAAGCGCGGUCACACCAUGCUAAUGCCAAGGCUAUGCUAUGCUAUGUUACUGUAUCCAUCCCCACCUCCAUCUCUUCCUCUUUCUCUCUCUCUCUCUCUCUCUCUCUCUCUCCAAUCCCUCCAAAAUGUGCCGACCCAUUUCUUUCAGUCCCCAUCUUUGUAGUUAUGUUGUCUCUUCCCUUAAAUGCACUUGCCCGGUUCUCUCUCUCUCCCUCUCUCUCUCUCUCUCUCUCUCUCUAUUGUAGUGUACAAUAUUGGGUUUUAAUCUCUCGCUUUUGUGUAACAAUAUAGUACCCUAAAAGCUUAAACUGAAAGAGAAUUCGAAAUUUUCUAAUGACUUUGUGAGACAUGUAGUUGAGUUAAAUUGAGAGAAAAGUAGAACUUCAUGUGUAAUAGGAGGUACUUCACUCUAAUAUUGAUAUAGUGUGAAACAAUCAAUAAUAAUUAAUUAUAAAUGCUCAAGCUGCCGAUAAACAAUAUUUUUAUGUUCAACAACUCUCUCUCUCUCUCUUUCUCUCUCUCUCUAGGUAUCGUUCCAAAGGCGCGGCCCCACGCAUGGAUGGGAAGGGACAUGCCAUAGUGGUGGCUAAGCUCAAGAAAAUGCCUGCUUUAAAUGCGCAGAUUCUCGAAACGUAUUAUUGUCUCUCCAACAAGGAGUGACUACGAAAUGUACAUCACCUCAAAACUAAUGAAAAUGCUUGAGUUGGCAUAAAUGUGAGGCAUGAAUAGUAUUAUAGAAAUGACCGUCGCCAACAGGUGCAUGGACGUGCUAGCACGUCGAUCCAUGUUGCCUUGGACUCCUCUCUCUCUCUCUCUCUCUCUCUCUCUCUCUCUCUCUCUCUCUCUCUGUAUAUAUAUAUAUAUAUAUAUAUAUUUAAAUCCAAAACAUAUAUAGUAGUUUAGGAUUUAUUUAUAGCCUAUCGAUUCGAUUAAUUUUCCCGAGAGACAUGGCUCCAAUAAGUGUACUACGACGUGAAAGUCCAGUGGGUCCAGCCCAUAAACCAUAGUGCCGUCGUGGCCUACAUCACUGCUAGGAUAUGUCGGUUUACUCAGCCUAGUCCAGUUUUCACCGUUUGAUUGAAUUAAGGCGGCAAAGUCCCCCAGUCAAAUUUGCAAAAAGUAGUGGGCCUUAAAUGUCUGGGCCCAUUAGGCUCAGAAUGAUCCAACCAUGUGCUUUUGCCGUAAGACACGGCCCGUCAAACCUCCUCAGAGGGUAUCAGCUAUCUACAAGUAAAGUAUGUUAGCAGCAUUGUUCUAUAGACUCUAUUCUCCCCCACCAACCUCUCUUGCAAAUUCAGAAGCUGCAUAUAGGAUCAACUUUUGAGGCUUUUAUUCGCGAGAUGCUCUACCAGAGAUCGUUGUAUCUAAAGCAGCAGUAGAAGUGGAAGCAAACAGAUGCUGCCUAUUCAACCCCUUUUGCUCAAGUGAGAACAUCAAUAUCCAGCAGCAUGUACCUGGAUAGGAGGGAUUGACAGAAAUGAAAAUAGAAACUGCAAUUGCAGUACCCUGUAGCUGAUUUUCGCAACACUAUUCUGGGAUACCUUAUGGAAAUUGCAGCUUAAUAUAAAGAAUAAUAGAUGAAACCAGCAGUUUAAUCCUACUGAGUAGUGUGUAAUACUCUUAAAUGAAUUGCAGAACAAGGAUAUAGCCGAACUAGCAACAUGAUUUACUAUAGUUUUCAUUUUACAGACUUCAAGAUUAGAUACAAAUGUACAGCACAGGCUAAUUCAAAUUGAUGUUAUGCAGUAUAUAGAAACUGGAUUCUAAUAACUUUGUUAAGGCAUGUUACAUAUAUCUCUGAUACAUUGUCGGAUCAUUGAUACUAACCAUUAAUCCCAAAAAGUUUGAGCUAUUAAAAAUAUAGAACCAAUUCAUUUAAAACGUACAAAUACAACGGCCACGGAUUUCGAUUGAGACUCGGUUCACCGAGCCUUACGCCACUUCGAACAUAGCUCGAUCUAAUCCGGCUUCACUCUAUUUCGAAUGUAACUCGACUCACUUGGCCUUCGGCCACAGGGCAGAAUGCUCACCCAACUAAGCCAAAUUAGUAAAAAUUUAGUAGCCAAACUAGUCAUUCACAAAAGAACAUUCUCAAGUACAUGUGAAUGCGACCUGUAAAAAGGCCCACUCAACAACAAUAGAGUCUCAACGACGACAUUAUGUAAGACAACUUGAUUAAAUUUCUUUAAAUUAAAAUCUACUACUCAUUGCUGAUAUAACAAGAAUACCAAAAAGUAGCAGAGCACAGAUUACAAGUCAAGAGUAAAUAAAUAUCAGGCAUAAUUCAAGGAUUAGUAACCAAUUAAAUUAAGGAACAUCACGGUUUCAAAAUUAUCGAGAAUGGGAGAAAACAGGCCUGAUCGGGCACAGACAAAACAAUAAUUGUCACGGUGCAGAGCAAGAUGAAAGAAUUUGAAUACACUACUUAAAUGCAAGCACCGAGGAUGAAAGGCUCUAGCAGACUAACAUUUUAUUGGAGAAUCUCAGCUUAGAAAUAGAGAUUCGCGUCGAAAAAUGAUUUGACCAAAACAGAAACGAAGAAAAAAGCAAACAACAGAAAAUCUGGAAUAGCACUGCCAACAGCUAACGCUAAAGCGCUCCAAGCCUCCAACCCAUCGCUGGAGUACCAGACACACUAAGUUAUGAAAUUCAAACUUCAACUAGACUUCUUUUAAAUGCUCUACUAAGGUUGCUGUUUAAACACCGAAAAUAUAUCAAGCAUAAGAAACCCCCACUCAAUCAAAGGCUUCAUCAUCAUCAUCCGGAAGAGGUUGCGCUGCUGCAGCUGCGAUCUCAGCUUCGUACCUAACAGAUAAGAAAAAAUUUUAGCUCAUAGUUAGAACAAACUAAGGUCAGCAAUUAUUUAAAAAAUAAUAGUAGUUUUAACAUUAGAAGGAACAAAAGCAAAGAAGAAUAUAUUGUAAGUGUUCCCCAUACCAUCCAGUAUUGAGGUUAGUUUCAAAAUAAAAAUUAAAAGAUAUAAAGCUAGAUGCAAACCACCACUAUAUCAUACGUUUACCCCAAAAACCACAUUGCCUUCUUUAGUCAUGAUUUGUGGCGUGAACAAGAAAUUCUAUGGCAAACGGCAAGAAUAUUCAUUAUUCAUUCAUCAAAUAAACAUAAAAGCGUGAACUGCAGUUCAAAUUGUUAUCUCACUAGCAUAGUAUUCGCCAUAAACACCAAACCUCUAGUGUGGUGCAUAGGGAAGUCAACGGGUCGGAUUUUCAAAAAACUGAACCCAAACCUGAACCUGAACACGACUACCAAACCCGAAAUCCGUACCCGAACCCGAAUCCAACGGAUUUUAAAAAUCCAUAUCCAAACCCAAACCCGACCAAAAAUCCGAAAUCUGAACCCGAGCCCGAACCCGAAAAUCUGACCUGAAACAAAUAUUUCUCUUUACAAUAUUUCAAAGCAUAUUACAUUAAAUCUAAAUUUUUAAAAUACAAGUUCAAAUACAACAUCAAAUAUUUAUAUAUAUAUAUAUUAUACAUAGUGUAAAAUAUUUUCGGGUUCGGGUCAAGUUCGGGUUCAAUUGGGUACAAUGAAAAACCCAUACCUGAAUUCAAAUCCGUCAGAUUUUCACUUUUGAUAUCCAUAUUCAAAAUGAUAUCCAUUUAGUAUCCGGUAAAUCCACUUCGUUCGGGUUCGGGUUCGGGUUCGGGUUCGGAUAAAAUUUGAGGCAUUCGUACCCAUUGACAUCCCUAGUGGUGCAGCUUAUACAUGGACUACAGUAUCUUAAAUAAGCAUAGAAAGUCUCUUUUACUUACAGCUGUUGCACAGCAAGAUCAACGUGAACCUCUGGAGGAGCAAGGGCAGGUGAUUCAACAAAGUGAAGAUUUGUAUCCCUGCAUAGGACAUAAUAUCAUUUGUAGGGCAACAUUGAAGCGUUAAAGAGAAAUAAAUUUGUAUUCAAAAGUCAAAUUACUACUUUACCCUGCAAGCUUUCUGGCUAAAUAGAGAAAAGGCUUCUCGAAGUUGUAAUUGCUCUUAGCAGAGAUUUCAUAAUACUGAAGAUUCUUCUUCCUGUGGAAUGUUACCAUUUUAGCUUUUACUUGCCUGUUCUUUACAUCAACUUUGUUUCCACAGAGAACAAUGGGAAUGUUCUCACAAACCCUGUUUAAAACCACAAACAGACAUAAAGCAUGGCACAGGAAAAUAUCCGAUGGCUAAUAUGGGGAAUUAAAGAGAAGAGGAAAAAUGUCCAGAGAAACUGAAAACUUACCGGCAUAAAUCUCUGUGCCAGGUGGGAACGUUUUUGUAGGUGAGCCUUGCAGUAACAUCAAACAUGAUUAUCGCGCAUUGACCAUGGAUACUGGCAAAUAAAUGAAUCAAGUUAUCAUGAAGGAAAAUUGUCAGCAAAAAGAUGACAUACAACUGUAAAUAUACUAAUGAAAGUACUAAUACUAACAACAGAAAUAUGAGAAGACGAUAAAAAAAGGAAACUGUACUAUAUUUAAUUUUAUGUCAGCAUUUUUAAUAAUAGACAGUCGAUACUCGAUACUAUAUAUUAGAUACUGUUUAUUGACAAGACUGGCAACCAAUGUAUUAUUAGCCGACCCUUAAAACAAUGAAAAGAAAAAAUAUAUAAAAAUAAGAAAUAAAAAGAUGUAACGUAGAUAACUAAGAUUUAGAGGAGAAAUAACUUCCACAGUUCAAAAAGAGAAAAUAGUGAUUCUUGUAGUAUCCCAUAUUGUCAAGACUUUCUAUUAGAUGUAAUAAGAGCCUAAUGGGAAAUAACACAUGCUAUACUCAGCAAGAAUAGACCCUAAACAACUUUCAAUGACGUACGGAUGGAUUUAUCCUGCUGAUCCUAUUGAUGCGUUACUGCAUGAUAAUUUGCAUCAAGAAGUUUUAGCUCUUUUUGCCUGCACAUUUUCCUCCAAUAAUAAUGCAUUCUGCACCAAACUCGACCACUAAAUGCGUGUAAAUAAACAUUGUCUUGUAUAAAAAGAAAGUAGAAACUUAGAUUUACUAAGUCUUAAUUAUGGACAGCCAACACAUCCUAAAAUACAGUUGGAAAUGGAAGAAACUUCAGCAGUACAUAUACUGAAUAACUAAAACAAAGAGAACAAAGUUUUUUUCCUUCUAAUUACAAUGAGCUAUCCACACAUUUAUAUAGUAAUGAAAUGGCAACAACAUACAAAUGGGCGGAAAAGUAUAAACCUCACAUUCCAAGGUUAAUCUGAACAAAUAAUUACAACUUACACCCAACUAAGGGAAGCCAGCUCUUACCAAAGAGGAUUGCAACAGUAAUGCGGAUUAAAUGAGUGCAUAUAAACAAUUCAACUACAACAUUUCCAACUAAGAUGGAACAACAAAAUUUUAAAUGCUAACGUCAUUCAAACCAAUUGCAAUGGGCAUUGUCAGUCACCUGAUUUAUUGUUGCCAAAUUUGGGAAGUUCUACAAUGUGUGCCAGAUAAUGUUGAACACACAACAGAAGCCUUUCAAGAAGGCGGUGAUACAAAGAAAGUGUUUAGAGAAAAUGAUGUCUUCCGUCCAUUUGAAAGCCGGAUGAAAUAAGCUUGAUAACAGUGAACCACUGAACUGACCAAUGUCUCUACAUACGCUUUAAGGAUUACCCCCACAUCCCAUCACUUUGAACUUUGAAGAGAUAAGAGAAGAAUAGGGUAGAAACUGGAAAAGGAAACCAGUAAUGUCCCUUUUGAUCUAGUAAGCAAUUGACAGAAUGAGAACUCCUCAGUGUAGCUAAUUUACCAAAAUUGUGACUCGUGAUUGUACCAAAACCCGAUAACAGAUAUUUAGAGAAAGGCUUUGUGUCCAGGAAACAGAAGCAAAUUGCUAUACAACACUGACAAAGAAACACAAUGUGUGACGCUUAAUUUCAGAGAUAUUAUGCUACACAAGAACAGAAACAAACACCACUCACUAGUAUCCAUCGCGAAGCCCGCCGAACUUCUCCUGGCCAGCAGUAUCCCAGCAGUAGAAGCGGAUUUUCCCACAGUUGGUGUGGAAAUCCAACGGAUGCACCUCAACACCGAUAGUAGCUGCCGUACAGAAAUCAAAGAUCCGUUGCUACAACAGCACCAACAAAAGUUAAAAAAAGGACGUCUAAUUAGUGGCACAGCAAAUCAAAUUCUUACGCUCGUAUUUCUUCUCAAACUCUCCCGUAAGAUGCCUCUUGACAAAUGUGGUUUUGCCUGCAGCAACAGAUCACAAAACUUAACAAAAUUUCCAAAUCUCCCAUUAAUCAGCCGAUUAAGACGGUAAAAAAUGAUACAAAAAACGUCAGAGAAGGUGGGACUUUAUGCGAUCAAAGCCCCAACUAAGUGCAAAAGUAACUCAUUUCGAUUUGAAAAACGAGUCAAAUACCUGUCCCUCCAUCGCCAACGAUCACGAGCUUGAAGCUAGGGUAAUCCACCGUUUGCUGGUUCGGGAGAGCCUGCAACAACACAAAUCACAACGAAGAAUGAAGGAACCGGAUCACAUCACACACUCUACAAACCGUAGAGCUCGAAACGCUGGAUUACCCUGAACGCGAAAAUUUGAAUUGAUGAAGAAGAAGAAGGAGAAGAAGAUACCAUUUGCGAUUUGCUUUACCCUUCGAUGCGGUGGCUCCUCCAAAUCGAGAAGGGUUUUGGAGGAGGGAGCUGGGGUUGUUGAGUUCGUCGCGUUGUUGAGUGCGAUAUAUUAUUAUAUAUAUAAGCAGGGGUUCGGGGCUUCGAUCCCACGCGACCCUCCGAGGCUCCCCGGCUUAAAAUUGACGCAACUAAGCAAGCCGUUGGAUCAGAUCCCGCCCUCGCGCUUAAUUUAAUUGUGGCCGUACACGCGCUGGAUGAGAUCUGCCGUUGAUUCUGGAAUUCAUAGAUGAUUGUUGGGCUGCUAAUGGGCCUAGCUCAGUUCUAAGCGCUAGAUGAGAGCCGAAGCCUAUUCUCCUCGCGGUGUCACAAAUCCCAGAUCACCCUGUGUAAAUUAAUCUGGAUGUCUUUGCCUUUGUUGUUUCUUAUUUAUUUAUUUAAUUUUGUGAAAUGGCUUGCCCAAUUGAAUAGAGAUGCGUCUCUUAUUCGAGAAAAAUCUUUGGGAGAAGACCCAAAUGUGUAUAAACUCAAAUACUUAUAUGUUGAGAGAAAAUAUAUAUCUCAUCAUUGUUGUGAAUGACCAAGACAUAUCAAAUUAAACACGUCCAUUCUAUAGAAACUUUUAACCAAUAGCUAGCACAUCUCCUCGCCUGCUUGCACCUCAAUCGUGCAAUACAAAACUCAGCAGCAAUAAUCCUAUCAAUAAUAAUAAACUGGCUCAAGGGUAUAAGAUCACCAAUUGAUCAAUAGCCCAGUUAUUGCUGAUUGAAUGGAACCACCAUGAUUGUGCAAUUACAGAAAUAAUAUUCUUCUUCUUCUUCUUCUUUUUCUCUCUCCGGCUUUCUACAGGCGCUUCGGACUGCGCACGCUGAGGACGGCGACGUCGUCAAGGACGGGCCCGCAGAGGGAGCUGAGAUCGUCGCUGCGGGUGUUAUAGUAGGAGCUCCAGAAGACGAUCCGGGUGCGCGCAGACGUGGCGCGGAAGCGGAGGGCGGCGCGCUUGAACCCACCGGUGCCCUUGGAGUCGUAGGCGACCUUGAGGCUGUCACGGGCGGCAUAGGCCUCGACCAUGAGGGAGCCCAUGCAGGCAUUUUUGGCAUCACCGACCGAGAAGGAGAGAACAUAGGAGCGGCCGGGGACGGUGCGGAUGACCUGGGAGAGGGCGCUUUCCUUGCCCGCAAGGAGCUCGACGGCGCGGCGUCCCUUGGGGACGGAGAAGUGGGCGGAGUCCAGGUACUUGACGGCCUUCAGGGACUCCACCAUCCACCCGGGGAUCGGGCAGUGAUCGUCCACCGUGUUCGACGGGAUCAGCACCCCCCAGCUCGUGUUUGGCAGGAUGUACGGCCCCUCCUCAAAGUCACCGUUCUUCAACAAGUUCUCUGUGUGUAUAUAUAUAUCCGCUCAAAUUCAUUAAUUCAAUACUAUAUUAUAUUUAUGUAUUAUAUUAAAUUUGGCCAUUAUAUAUAGUUACUGAUUGAUUUUGAUCAUAUUAUUCGAUAUAAAUAUACAUGUGAUCAAUUGAAUUUCAUUGGCUUAAAUUGUAUAUAGUUACGUACUGUUGGUGGGCUUGGGCGGAUAGAGGGCCUUCAUGGCGACGGAGUCAAUGAGGGGCCCACAGGCAGGAUCAUCCGUGACUCCGGGGUUGUGUAUGAUGACGUCGACAUCGUCGGACUUGGCGAUCCAGGCCCAGGCGUAGGAGUCCCAGCCGUUGCUGCUGUACAUGGUCUGCAUGGCCAGCACCCCGGACUGCCCCGACGCCGAUACGUUGAGCUGCUCCGCCUGCGCGCACGUCCGCGCCGCGCUGAACGUCAGCGAAUAGCGCAGCCCCCCGGCGACCUUCACCCGCUGCUUGAUCGACGCCUCGUUCCCGAGCCGCACCGCGUAGGACCCCUCCGGCACCACCAGGAGCAUGUCGCCCUGCUUGUGCCCCGACUCGAUGUAUUCUACGUACCCGGAUAUCUCCCAUGAGGGGAUCGCCGUGCGGCUCGUCACCUGCGUCCCGUUCAGCUCCGACCGCGCCGGCCCCUGCUCGAAGUUCCCAUUCGGCAGCAAACCUGAAAAUUUUUUUUUUUAUUUUUUAUAUUCAGGGGGAGGGCACUCUCAGGCGAAAAUAAGAGUAAAUAAUGACAUGAAUAGUGAAAAAAAAAAUAAAACCAAAUUAAUUAGAAUUAAGCUUUCAAUUUUUACUAAAAUUUUCGUUCAAGAGGUAUUUAUUUAACUAUUUGUUUACAAAUAUUCCAUGGACAACUGAGGCCAAGAGGAGCUUUGGAUGCUUCGCAAGGGCCUAAUCUCUAGCCUGCCGAGCCCGUCAACGGGAAGAUUCUCAUGGACCGAAGGACGUUGCUAGUGAGCUUUUAUAAUUAGGCCUGCAUUUUAAGACGCUGAACGAAAUUUUUGCCCAAAAAAUACUAGAUUUUUGUUUCUUUUAUUAAGAGAGAGAGAAUAGUAGCAGAUGCUACCCCUUUUUUUUUUUUUUUUAAGAAUUAACUUAGUUGGAUAUAUAAAGGAAUUAAAUUUAUAACUUGAGAUCUUAGAUAUCAAUCAUUAAACUUGUUGUCAUUUGCGCUAGGAAUGGUAAUACUAGAUUUUAUUAACUCUCGUGAAUGUAAUAACUAUAUGGAUUUGUUAAGUAAAUGUCGCAACCAAAAAAUGUUUGAAUAAAAACUUCUACUGUUUUUAGGCUAACUCCGACAGAAUCCCGGAAUCAAUAUUUUUUCUUUUUUUUUUCUUUUUUUGAAAGGUUGUCCUCGAAAUUGGGGUAUCGAGAUCAAGUCUUUAACGCCAUGUGGGUUGCAUAUGCUUGGCCCAGUUAAUCCGAAUGCAGAUGCUCUCAUUAUGUUGUCAGUGCAUAAAAUUAUAAAACUGAUCAAUCGCAAGGACUCCGGGAGGGUGGCCUCCAUUUUACCACCACUUUAGAGUUUAGACACUCUAAAUUAAUUAAAAGUUCUCAUGGUAUAAUAAUAAAAGAUUACAGGACAAAUGGUGUAGGAGAUUUCAGAUUGCAGUAUAAAUGAAAAUAAAUGAUCAAUUUCUGCAUCGAGUUCUCUGUUAUAAUUAGUGCAUCAACUCUUCAUCUAAGCUCGACUUAUAAUUUCGUCCCAAUAUUUGUUUUAUAUCCUUACCGCUAUCUAAAUUUUCUCUUUUUUUUCUUUGUUCCUUCAUCAAAUUUAGCCAUCUAAGGGACUGAAUGGAAGCCUCGAAUUCAGACAGCGAGAAGCCAGCAAGUUCUGCAAACUCGACUUCUCGCCCAUCCAUUCGAAGUUGAAUCGUUAGUCUUUGUGUAGUAUGAGUGGUGAAUACGAUAAUUUCACAAGUUUAGUGUUGAAACAAAUGCAUGCAUGCCGCUAUCAACUUUUUUAAACUGCAUGUGUUCGAACUCCAAAAACAAACAAAUAGCCCUAAUUGGUUAUGCGACCAUAUAUAUACUAGACUUACUCAAACUUUCUGAGUAGGACGAAGUUUACAGCGUAACAGUCACAUCACGUUACUCAUAUCCCAAUCAAUCAGAUCUUUUUAUUUGAAAGAAAAUGAGAACGAAAAUAUUUUCUAAUUUUAAUUAUGAUGGGAUGCAUGGGUGAACUCUAUGGGUUCAAAGUGAUUGAUUGAAGAUGUUCCGUCAUUUAUGUAGUUAAUAGCUAUAUAUAUAUAUAUAUAUAUAUAUAUAUAUAUAUAUAUAUAUAUUUAGAGAUAAGUAGCAUGCUGCCCGCUUUGUUUAUUUCAUUUAGAAGUAACUUAGUUAGAAAUAUGAGUCAACUAGGAUUCGAAUUUGGGAUCUCGAAUACCAACCAUCAAUUCCUUUGCCACUUAUUACGCUAGGGACAGUUGGUUGUAAUAGCUAUAUUUUAGACUUUUUUCUUGAGAAAGAAAGGAUAAAUCUGAAUAUUAUUAAUCCUUGCCAAAUACAGCAGAUAGAUGACUGCUGUUCGAAGAUAGACUGGACUUACAUAAUAAAAUAAACCAACACUAAUUAUUCUCUCACAUGGUCUUAGCUCAGAUAAUUAUUUGAAUACUAUUUUAAGAAGUAAUAAACUCGAACUUUCACUGGAUACUAUUAUGUCAGAACUAAAAUAUGCUCCACCAUAAGUUUGCAUUUAAGGUACUUCCCUAACUCUACCAAAGAUCAUAAAGGCACCUUCUUUUUUACUUCUUUUCGAUUUAGAUGGAUCUCCUUUUAAAAUGUUGAGCAUGCAUGCGAAAGCUUUUUUUGACCUAAUUGGUCAAGUAUUUGUGAGUUGGAAAUUUUGUUACCGCACAUGUAUACUACUUAAUUUGAUCAGUAAGCUAUAUAUAGCAGAAGAAAAGCUAGCUACAUGCACGAGUAAUAAAAAUUUCAUCUACAAGCUCAUCAGACGCUUUAGAUGAAUCCUGUUCGCAAAGCUCCUGCAUGCCAUGCACCAAGUUCAAAAAAAAAAAAAAAAAAAAACUAUAUGCAAUUCGUGCUUUUAUAUUAAAAGAGUCACUAUAAUGUGCGCGUUGGAGAAUCGGAAGAUGACUCCAUUAUAUGUCGCUUAAUUAUAUCUUGGAAUUAAUAAUUUUUUUUAUUGGCAAAAGUUUUGUGUUGUUACUUGUUAAUUACUGUGAAAUAAUUAAGUAUUUAUCUCUAGAAACUUAUAUACGGUAUUUUAGUAUGUCCAUAUUCAAAACGUCCUCAACUGUCUAGAUAUAAUACUUAUUGGUAGACCCGAGACAUAAAAUUAAAAUAAAUAAAAAAUUACAUAAAACUAACAAAUUUAUGAGAGUCGAACUUAGAACGUUAUGUUCUAUUACUAUAUGUAAAGAUAGUGUGUAUAUAUAGGAGAGAAUUUAAUGGCAAAGAUAGAUGAUUUUGAUGAUACGAAACCAUAUUAAAAAGGUGAUCGAGAUCUUACCCUCGGUGAAGGCAACACUAGUGUGAGCGAUCGCACACAUUAGCAAUAACGUUCCAACAAUGGCUACAAUUCCCAUUUUUAGAGAGAAAGAGAGAGAGAGAGAGAGAGGAGAGUAGAGAGACGAGAAGUGAUAUGAAUGAACGAGUGAUGGUCGAGCGUACAGGGACGACACGGUGCUUAAAUGGAUGCCCGCCUCAGAAAAAACCCCUCGCUUUUCAACUUAUCCUCGAAAUUGCCAUUCAACUGACGUAUCUUGGUCCGAUGACGAUUCGUUUCCAUUAUUCGCACGUAAUUUUAGGCUAAAUAUCACUGAUUCCACCGCUAAUUUACGCACCCAUGUGCUGACCAUCUCUAACUUGUUUCCGGUGCCCACUCUGGUGAGCACACGUAUCACGUAGAAACUUAGCAAAGUUCUAUUUUGUUGUAAUAAUAUAAGUAAACGACGAUUUUGUCCACGAGGAACAUAGAUUACAUGAAGAAGAAAAUCUACCGUGUCAUAUUAACAAAGGUAUGCUAUAUUAUUAGUAACAAAUUAAAUAUAUUUUAUAUCUUGGAAAAAAUACAAUAAAAAUAUUUUUUUAUUAAUUAUGAAGAAACGGAAAAAAAUCUAAAAUGUAUCAAUUUUUUUUUGACUAAUAUGAUUUUUUUUUUUGAGAGAGAUAGGUAGCAUGCUACCUGUUUCGUCUAUUUCAUUUGGAAAUAAAUUUAGCUGAAAAUGUGAAUUAACUAGGAUUCAAAUUUAAGACUCGAAUAUCAAUCACUAAAUUCUUUGCCACUUGAUUUAGGGAUGAUAUUUCAAUUAAUAAAAUUACGGGUGUUCGUAUGGAGCCUCCCCCGUGCCCAACAUAAGGCACCAGAACCCACGAUGAUGCCCCGCAUGGGGUAAUUGACCUGCCUCCUUUCGGAGGGCUCUUUCGUCAUUUCAUAUAUAUAUCCACAAUAUCCGCGUGUAAUAAUAAGUGUUCAAGCUUUAAUUACAGCCCUAACCUCGUUCUGCACACCAAUCCUUAAACUCCGCCUUCUUUUAUGAGCUGCAGAAGACCAUUGCUCUUGGGGAGUAUUCUGAAGUCAUCUUUAAUCAAUAAAUUAUUUAAAAAUAACCACAAAUUAAUGACUAGGAAUGGUAACUACUCACAAUUAAUGCAUGCAUGUUAUCUUCAUUUACGCAUUUUACAAUGAUUAUAUAGGUUCUGCGAUGCUACGAUCGACUUAAUUUUUGUGUCGGGCUUGUUUUGUGAUGUUACUGUGCCGUAUUAGUUCACCUUAACGAUAAUUACAAAAAACGUUACCAUAUGCUAAUAUGCAGAUUCGGGUGAAGAUUUUAUAUAGAGAAAAUAAAAAUUGAAGGCUCAAUUUCGAUCUGUUAAUAAUAAUUGUGAUUUGAAAUCUAUUUUAUACUAUUAACACAAUGGUUUACUAGCUACUAUGGCGAACAACUGCAUGAGAUUUAACCUCAUAUAUAUGUAAAACAUUAGUUUAUUUGUUAAUGCUCGACUCAUUAAUUAAGACGGUGGCAUUAAUUAAUUGGAGUGUUUGAGAUGGUUAAGUAGCUAGCAAGUGAUCUUGACCACUGCAUGCAUGGCAGAGCAUGUAACAAACCACAUGGGCCGGAUAGAUCGUAUAAAAUGAAAUGCUACAAAUUAAUUAAAGGUGCGAAUGGGCCCAGAAAUGCCUUCCCCAGCAGGUAUAUAUCAGGAGGCACGCAGUACACCUCUGUCUUUAAUGAUCUCAGUGCUAUGCAAGGCAUUAAGCAUGCAACAGUGCAUGGUGGAAACUUGUUCUUGUUAAACACUAUCUCAAAGAUGAGUCGCGCAUCUUAUUCUCCUCAUUUUAUGUAUUAAUCCGAGGUCGGCAUAGGUGCCUUCUUUGCAGGGAAUCAUGCAUGUGCUCUUCUGAUGCUUAUCAUGUGCUAAUUGAACUUGGAAAUUUGUGGGCUUCAGCAUGCAUGUGGGGCGCACGUGGUUGUUCAACGAUGCGGACGAACAACAAUUUGUUGGCUUAAUUAAUUUCCAGUUAGAUAAUAAUAAUUAACAAGAAGAGUUAUGCGUUUUGAUGAUGGAGAUCGCUAUAUCAAAUUUACGACAGAUUAAAAUUCGAAUGGAAAAAAUGUAAUAGUUAGCGGGACUGAUUAUGACACCAAUUAACAGAAGGCCCAAGGUUUUCAGAUGAAGCAAGUCGUAGAACACGGAUCGAGCUGGCAUUUGCAUUGGCCACUGAGCAUGCAAUCGGUGCUGGCGGUGGCAGGCCGGUGUUUCUUCGUCAGAUAACUGUUAAGUCGUGCUCCGAUGCAUAGCCAACCGGACCUAAUCCCACAAGGCCGUACGUAACAUGCAGUAACCACCGACCGCCGUCCUGCAAACUCAGAAAAGCAAUUCAAGGCCCUUUUACUCUCUGCUAGAUCUCUUAUUUCGAAAAUCGAUAUUAAUAGAAUACUUGUAUUAUUUACAGUAGAGAUUUAUUGCAUAGAGCCAAGAUUCGGAAUGUUUUUGUAGAAGUGUUGGCAAUACUCUUUUCUUUCUCAAAAGCGACAUUGCUUUGAAUGCAGUCACAUGAAGUUGCUGUCGAUCGACAUAGAGCAGUGGGCAUAAUUGGAUCAUUAACUCAUUUUCCAGCAUUUCCGGCCAUAUCGUAUAUGUGAUGCAGACGCGAGCGUACAUUAAUUUAGGACUGAAUCUCUGGUAUCUGAGAUAAGGUUCGCCACUGGCUAUUAUUAUAUCAUUUAUUUUAUGAGUCAAUUAUUGCAGAUAUAGUUAUAGCGUAUAUCUUAUCAUCACAUCAGAGCCUUUAUUAAUGCACAUAAGCCUAACACUCCUCCUAUCUAUAUAUGUAUGGUUUUAUUUCUUUCGAUUUCCUGUCGAAGGAAAUUCUUUUCAGAGAGUUGUUAGGUAUCUUUUUAUGUUGAACUCCAGCUGGUAUAACAAUCUUAGGUUUUCUUGACUUUUUAAGUCAGGUAUUUUAGUCCACCUUUGUUUCGACCUUACUAGCGCGCAAACCAAUGCCAAAACUUACCAAAAGGCCCAUUCAGUUUGUGAUAAUUUUUCUCAAACUUGGUAUGCGAGAGUUUUUUUUUUUUUUUUUUUUGUUGUACAUCUAUUGAUUAAGCCACUUAUACGAAAAGCGAGAUAGAGCUAAGUCGACCAAAAUGCUUGAUACAAUGAAGGACAUUGCAUCCUCCUUUUAUAACGAAGGAUUGGAUUCGAAGACUAUGUCACUAUGCAUAGGAAGUUCCUAUAGAACGUAAAAUAAUAUUGCUCGAAAUUUACUGACCGUUUUUAGAGUAAGUGGCAAAGAACUUAAUAGUUGGUAUCCGAGACCCAAGUUCGAAUCUUAUUUGAUUCACAUUUCUAGCUAAUUUUAUUUUCUAAAUGAAAUAAACGAAGCAGGUAGCGUGCUACUUAUCUCUCAAAAAAAAAUAUAUUGCUUGAAAUUUUCUUUUCAUUAGUUAGUUUAGCAAUCGAAAGGAAAACCAUCAAAUUAUUAUUUUUUAGGGAGAAAGAUAACAUGCUGCCUACUUUCCGCUUCGUUUAUUUCUUUUAAAAAUAAAUUUAGCUAGAAAUAUGAUCAAUUAAAAUUCAAAUUUGAGAUAUCAGAUACCAACCAUCAAACCCUUUAUCAUUUGUACUGAAAUACAGUCGAUACCACCGACUGUUCCUAGAGUUGGUACCCGAGGUACCAAGUUCGAAUCCUAGUUGAUUCAUAUUUCUAGCUAAGUUUAUUUCUAAAUAAAAUAAGCGAAACGGAUAGGGUGCUUAGGGGUGGCAAUCCGGCUCGCUGUUCGCGAGCCAGCUCGUGUUCAGCUCGAAAUGAACUCGAGAUCGGCUCGCUCAUUUAAUAAACGAGCCGAACACGAGUUAAGGUCAGCUCACUCGUGUUUGGCUCGAUAACAGCUCGAAUACAUAUAUUUUAUAUUUACAUAAUUUAUUUAAUUUAUAUUUUUAUAUAUAAUAAAUAAUUAUAUAUAAUAUAUAUUUUUAUUAUUUAAAUUUUAGCAAAAUAAAAAUAUAUGCGAGCUUAAUUAUAAAAAGACUCAUUUAUACGUAAAGUUUUAACUAUUAGAUCAAAGUCUAAUGGAUAAGAUUUUAUAAAUUUAUUUUUUUUAUAUAUUUAAUAUAAUUUUUUUAAUUUAUUAUUUGUUGGCCAGCUCGUGAGCCAGCUCGUGUUCGGCUCGUUAAUAAACAUAGCGAACACGAGCUGAAUUUUUCGGCUCGAUAUUUUAACGAGUCAGCUCGUGUUCGGCUCGUUUACACUCCUAAGCGUGCUACCUAUCUCUGGAAAAAAGAAAAGAAAAGAAAAGAAAAGAAAUACAGUCGAUACCAAACUGUCAUUUUUGCUUUCCAUAAAAACGCGUGUUAGUAGGAACCUCGAAUGUUAGGCACUAUGCUCCCACUGUUUUGCCAAACUGGUCCCUGCUUACUGUGGGCUUGGAUUGAGAUGUCCUUUAUACUCCUAGUCGGGUCGAAUGUGGUUCGUAUAGGUGGUGAUAGGCUAGAGCCUAACCCAUUAGCGCUGAACCCAACACUUCACCCGAACACAACAGUCGCAGCUGCGAGAGGAAAACCAGCCCACGGGUUUCUUCUCCAACUUUUCCUCUUCCGAGCUGUCAAGGGUUUCAAUGGCGUCGUCUUCCUCCUCCGAAUUCUCCUCUGGGUAAUUCAAACCCUAGCCAUUAAUUCCAUUGCUAAUGUAGAGAUCAGAUCCGAUUUUAUACGAAUCGAUAUGAUUAAUCCUUAAUUAUUCUAUUCUCUCUGUGGAAGAGAUGUUGCCGUGAAGAAGCAACAGCGCCAUGGCCCCCAAUUCAAGUUCCUCGUGCCCCUUAUUUAUGCUCCGAUCCUUCCUUUGAGUACGUUAAUUUUCACUUAUUUCUCCUCUUAUUUUAGGUUACUUAAUUUGUCUUUGCGUAGAUUCGACUUGUAGUUUUUGUUGUUUCAAUUCGAAACACUGAUUGCUUUGUAACUUUUUGGUUUUGUUUUUCGUAUGGAUUCAUUAACAGUUCGAAUAGGUCUGAGGCACAAUCCAGUUGUGAGGGAUCGGCUCUUCUUCGGAGUUCUCGCUGGUGCUUUCGCUCACGGCGCAUAUUUGGUGUAUCCUUCCUUCUCUCUUACAAACUCUAUACUCGUACAAUGGCAUCAUACUUUAAUUUCCUUGGUAAAGUUUGAAUUUUAUGUUUAAGUGGAGGCAUAGUAUAUCUGUAAUGAAAUUGCUGGCGAUAGAUACAUUUCUUAUUUAUCUGUAAUGAGAUUGCUGGCGAUAGAUACAUUUCUCAUUUAUCUCCAUUAAUUAAGUAGAUAUCAUCUGGUAACUCCUUAUAAAAGACCCUAUAAAGAGUGUUUUGGAUGCUCUUCAUCCAACCAACUAGUUCCUUCUAGAAUUUACAUUUUCUUCGGAGAUGAUAUUUUAGUUUAGGUUGACGAAAAAAAAAGUUUCCUUAUUUAAAGGUUACCUUAGCAUUAGCAGUUAAGAUCGGCCGCAUCUGUCUGAUGUUAACUAGUAGAUUCAAAUAUGUUGAGACAGAUAACAAUGUUAGAUGAAUGGUUGGUUGAAUUCUUUGGUAAGACAGUUCAAUAUGAGAGUAUUAGGCGUGGCACCAUGUUUCUAUGUGGUUAUAUUAUGUGACUUUCACAUUAGCAGGUUAGAUUAAUUUCACCUACAUAAAAAGAAACGGACAUAUUAGCUGUGAGCAAAUACUAGCUAAUAUUUAAUCAUCAAGCAGUGACAAAAUUUCACCCUCUUAGAUCUUUGUAGUUUGUAACUAAUGUUUCCUUAAAAUGCAUCAUUCUACCUCUGUUAAUAUAGUGUUUGUACAAUAUGAAGAAACAAUGAUAGGGUACUUUGUACAGGAUAAAUCCUACAACUUGUUUAUCCUUGAUAUUUCCUCAGAACUGAUCUAUAUGACAUUGAGAGUAAGUGAACGACAUUGAGAACCCCAAUGCCCAUUAUUGUGUUUCAUCGACGGCAUAUUUUGCUCUUACUAGCAAUUCAUCAAGAGUAUGUACUUUGAAGUUUGUGCGCCGGUUGCUGUAUGUUUUUACACCCAUCUUUCUUUCUACUAGAUAAGUUGCUUUUAUUUUAUAUAAAUAAUUGAUGAAUGCUUGGAAGCUUGCUGCUGUCUAUGUGAUCAUUACCAUGCUGUUUAUCGUUUUGGAAUACUUGUCAUCUAUUUCUGAGAAAGUUUUGUAGUCCCGAAUGCUAACGUGAGGGACAAGUGUGUCCGGAUCAAAUAUGCUUACACAUAGAGAAGUUUGUUUCAAAACAUGUUUGACAGAUUUAAUAUAUCUUUACUUCAUUGAGACUCAAGCUUCCAUGUUCUUCCACUUAUUGGUAACAUGAUUUUUUUACUCUGUCAAGAUAUCUUGCUUUUUGACAUUAAAUUCUAAAACUCUUAAACUUCAAUACUGAUCGGUCCUCCUUUUAUGGUUACUGUGAUUGUGAUCCUCCUUUUGAAUGUUGAAGUGUUUUCGAGAACAUUGAACCUAACAAAAAGGUAACCAGGGAAAAGAAAAAAAAAUAUCUGGAGUUGCACAUGCUUUCAUAAUAGGGAUAAGCUGCAGUUUGUAUGUAUAGGGGGAAUCGAUGAAUGACAUAUCGCAUAGGUGUGAUAAUGUGGUUUUUGCUGGAGAUGUUACGAGUUUAGGAAAAAAGUUUAAGGUAAGCUCAUGAAUGAUUGAACAGUUGCUCUGUUUCUGUUUGUGUCCCUGCAAGACGUUGCUAACAGACUGCUUUUGAUUGAUGCCAAAUCCUCGCUGCAUAUCAUACACCGGCCGUCCGGCCGUCCCUAGAGCAAAUGGCAAAGGAUUUGGUGGUUGGUACUCGAGACCCAAGUUCGAAUCCUAGUUGAUUCACAUUUACAUCUAAGUUUAUUUCUAAAUGAAAUAAACGAAGCGGAUAUCGUGCUGCCUAUCUCUCAAAAAAAAAAAAACUAUUAUCCUUACUACAGUACAGAUGUCAUUAUGUGAUUACUGUUCCUCUCUUUGAUGUUGAAGUGCUUUCUAGAAUGCUAAAUUAUAAAAGAAAUAAAACAAGGAAAAAUUAAAUACAUACUUCUUCCUUCUUUUUUUUUUCAAGGAAAUCAACUGUCCACAUUCAUGUACAGAUGAAAAUUUACCCUUGACAGUUCUAUUCCUGGAGGUAGUGCGCAUGAUUCCAUAAUCAUGAUAGCCUGAAGGAUGUACGUAUGUUGGAAUCCGAUGAAUUAUACACUGCAUAGGUGUAAUGUGUUGUAGUUGCUUGGAAGAUUAGGAGUCCAGAGAAAGUUUGUGCAUGAUCAGAUAAUUGCACUCUAUAAUUUGAUUCUUUUUGUCCCAUUGAGAAGUGUUGCUAUCAUAGUGUUUGGAUUUUGAUAAUGAUUGCUAUUUUUUUGAAUCGUAAGCCACAGCCUAAGUACUUCAGGAAAGAAUUGACACACAAGUAGAAAAGCAGGUCAGAGAGAAAAGGGAAAAAAAAAGAGGAACACAACUACUACUUAGCAUGAAAGGAGGACCAGAGGUUUUUAAGUGAACGAAAAACCGCUAUCAGUUGUCUUGAGGUGAUCUUCUUUUGGUCGAAGAUUGUUUUUGUUCCGCUCCAGCCAAUUGGUUCACCAUGACUGCUAUUUUCAUAUCUGAUUAUAUCCUGCUAAAUUGGCAUAACAGCGUAGGCAUAAUAAUUGAGUAAUCUUAUAUUCCCUAAUUAAUGAGCUUUAAUGGUGUGACCAUGCAAUUGAGGAAAAGGUGACUAGUUGGGUGCUUUAGUCUCUAAAAUUCUCAAAUUAUGCUGGAUAAAUUUUCUAUCACUCAGUUAAUCAGUCAGUGUAGAACUGCUCUUGCUAGUAGACAAGUAGCUAAUACAUAGUUUUGAGAAUCCAACUCAAACUCUACUCCAAAAAAUGCCAGGAGGAUGAGAAGCAAGUUUCCUGAAUGCUUGAGAUAACUCUAUCAUUUUCUUUUCCUUGCAUAAUUAGUACGUCCUAAGUAUGAUCUUUGAUCUCGUAAUAAUAUUAGAUAGAGAAGAUUGCCCAGACUCCAAAAAGAUGUCACACUAAAUCCGCAUCUGGAAACGUCGGAACCUUUAAUCUGACUAAGCGAGGGCAUUACAAGUAGAAUAUUUUGGGACAAAAAAACAUCCCCAGAUUAAACCAUUAUUCAUACAUAUAUAUACACCAACAAAAAGAAAAAAAAUAAUAAAUUAAAACUUGAUAAUAAGCCGUUUCUCCUAAUCACGUUGACGAAUUUGCGGGAAUAGAGAGCGGCGAUCAACGACGAGAUCCAUAUUAAGAGAGCGAACGAUCACUAUUUCAAACCUCGCUCCAAAACACAAACACACACACGCACGCACGCUUAUUAAACCCUAACCCUAAUCCCAAAUGCUGUAGAUCCCUCCGUAUUUAAGGGCCGGACCGGCGAGGGAGGUCGGUAGCGAGGCGAGAGGCGAUGGCGGAGUGGUACAUGGGGUCGUGGAAGCUCUCCAUCUCCAUCAUCCUCAUCCGAAGCUCCCUCGCCUUCUCCUCCGUGAACGCCGCGUACCGCCGCGUCCGCCCCCGCGCCGGCGCCGCCUCCGCCGCGCCCGUCUCCUUCUCCGCCGCCGCCCCGCCGUCGAUGUAGUCCGGCUCCGCCGUCCACCCGAAGAGCGGCGCCCACCACUUCCCCCCGCCGCCGCUACGCCCGCGCACCUCCGAUCUCCGGUCGCCUCCCGCGGCGGCGCUCGCCCGGAUCGGCACCGGUGGCCGGAAAGAGAGGAUCACGCUAGACGCCAUGAGAGAGAGAGAGAGAGAGAGAGAAGGCGAAGAGAUCGUGGUUAAUGUCGUUGUAGCUUCUCUUUUUUUUUUUUUUUCCCCUUUUUUUGGUUUUUAAUUAAUGAGGGGGUCGAUUUAAGGAAGAGAGGGUGAAUAGGAGGAGGGGCUUUUAAUAAAGGGGAAGGGAAAGCGAGCGAGUGGAUAAGGUUGGAAGGGGUGGGUGGGGGCCGAGCACACGUGGCGCUGAUCCAGCGGUCCCACCGUGGGCUUUUUCGCUUUUACCAAUUUCAGCACCGUCGAUUUUCUCGAUCGCCCCACACGCGCUUUUCUCUCGGAAUCCGUGGGCGAAGGAACCCCGGGACUGGGGUGCCGGUGGCCCCCCAAAAAGACUACAAUGCCCCCACUCCUUCGCUACCGGAUGGAGGGCAAAUUAGUCAUUGUGAAUUUAAAACUAAUUUCCGUGGAAAAAAUGGACGGUGAUUGGAGGGAUAUUUUGGUCGUUCCGAGUUGUCCGACUAUGCGACUUCUUGGGGUUGGGGGGAUGCGUGUGUUCGCGAGCUCUCGCCGUCCGUCCGCGUGGAAAUUUCGACACGUGGAAAUUCGCAGCGACCUUAACGGGCAAUGGUGUUUUUACACGAUAGACGUGUUGGACCAGUAAAAGCUCCGGUCGGAGGAAUAUCUUAGUAAGUUAAUAUUCUCGGAGGGCGAAUAUCCUUCCGGAGGCAAAACUCAAAUGGGUGGGGCCCGUGGGGGACAGGAACACGUGAUUUUGAUCUUUGCUCACGUGGCUACACGUCGACUGAAUUAUGUGCGUAGAUUGACAUUGCUAUUGCCAGCACUAAUUGGAAGUUUGAAUUAUUUAAUCGAAUAUCUUUUUAUUACUAUUUUUUUUAUUUAUGUUUUAUUUGGAUACCGGAAUAAGUUAUGUAACGAUAUUUUAUUCAAUACCAGGCUUUCUAAUUAUAAUUGGAAGCUAGGAGUUGAUUAGUUGUUUAGAAUGAAAUAGGAUAUUCGGUCUCUAAUUUGUUUUUGCAAAAUGUACUGUUCUUCCAAAAUGGGAUUUUUAAGGAGCCAACAUUAAACUUACGCUUUUAAAUAAGCUUGUAUUUUUAAAUUACACAAUAAAAUCUUCAUUAUCAAAUAACUUAUUCCGGUAUCCAAAUAAAAUCUUGCUGAAGAAGCAUGUGGUAUAUGAUGGAUGAGGAACGUAAUUAAAUGUCUAUAACGAUAUUAUAUUCGGCCUUCAAAUUAAUUUUUUAGAAUAAAACAAAUUAUCUUGUUGGCAAAAUUUGUUAUUCUAUCGAAUCAUGAAUGUCGAGAUUUUUCAAAGAAAAAGAAAAAAAAAUCAAACUGUCACAUUUAUACAUUUUCAUGUUUAGUAAUUAGAUAAGACUAAACAAGGAUUUGGGUCAGGACAAAUCAACAAUAAUCGCCCUCACCGGGGGUACGCUUGGAUAUUAGAACAUGACUGUUUUGGGCCAUAUUUUGAAGUCUUAAAGGCUACGACGAAAGACAUUUUGGGCUCGAUGCACAUUAGGCCCAAGACAAAUUAACAGGCCAUGUAAUCCACCUCUCAGUUCCAUGAGGUGUUGCAAAUUGCUGGAGUCAGGAGGAUGGGAGGAGUGUUGGAUUGAUGUAUUUGCCAUUCAGUCAUAAAUGAGGUUUAGGAAAAGCAGAAACAUCAACUCUGCCAUGAGCCAUUGAACAGAAGGGUGUUGUGUGGAAGCCUAUCCGGCUUGCUUUCAUAUAAGUAAACAAUUUGGUUUACACUGCAUCCACUCCUCAACCCUGUUAAAAGUGGUAAAAUGUUGGUACAAAUAAUGCAGCCUUCUGGAGGGCACUAUUUUGAGCUGCGAAUCUCACAAAGAGAACAAACUUUCGAGUAUUUACCACAAUGCAAAACUUAAGACCAGAAUCCAUCCUCCUCUUAAGGCAAAAUUUUGCAGAGAGUACAAUGGAAGAGUAUUCUGCUAAACUCUAUCAUUUCUUUGCUUUUCAGAUUUUCUUAAGUAUGUGAUUACAGUGAACGGUUUUGCACAUCAAAAGUCAAGUAAAUCUUUGUUAGCUACAAUUCCAAUUUAAAGUAUACCAACAUAUAUAAAAGCUGCAUGAGGACUACUCUAUGCUGCCUUCCUCUUUAUCAAUCGCAUUCUCUGGAGACGCAUCACUUUCCUGAGUUGGUCAGUUUUCGUAGGGCAAAGAUAUCCUCCUCAGACAUUUGGAAAUAUGACGAAAUAGCAGGCUCUGCCCCUAAACUUCAGCUAAGUAAACUCAUUUUUCCACUUUACUGGGUUUCUGGACUCUCCUCAGGAUAAACCUGCAGAAAAAUUGCGACAUGGCAUUUCACUGGAAAGAAAGUAUGACCAUAAUAGUCUUCAUGCAUAUUUUUCUUCAAAAAGAAAUCUCAGACAUUUUGUUGAUCAUGCACGUAUAAAUCUUGAACAAGUCUGCACUGAGGAGGUUAAAAAACUUUGGCAAAAUCUUUAACAUGACCGUAAUAAGAUCGUCUAGGGGUAUUAUAUACCUGAAGAGACCUGUCUUCAUUGAAGCUAACAGUUCUAAGCUUAAGUUCCCCUCUACUGGUAGUGAGUUCAUCCAGUAUUUCAGCAUCACACACCUCAUCUCUGCUAUCUUCACUGCCUGAAUAAGAUGUGUCUCCUUCCUGUAAAAAUUUCAUAUUGUAACUUUUUAGUUUGAAAAGAAUAUUAUAGCUAUGAUAAACAUACUGGUAGAGAAAUCAACGAAAAACAUUAAACAACAAAAGGGAAAUGAAUUUAAGUUCUGAUAACACUCCAGAUUAUUUAUGUACAGCAAUGAAGAUCUCAUACCCUAAAUGAGAGGCUGCGAUCGUGAUGAACUCCAGCAAUCUCUUCGUAUUCAGCUGCGUCCAAUUCGUAAAGGUGUUGUGGGUGGAAGAAUUUUGGAAGAAGGUGCUGUCUAAUGAUAAUCAGUAUGAAGAAGGGCAGUGGGAAAAGAAUUCCUGCUAUUGGUAUCCAUGUCACUCCGAAACACAGCAUGAGAUAUGCAAAUUGGAAGAGAGUGAACACAGCUAUUUCUCUGAAAGGAACCAACUCCACAAAGGAUGCAUGAUCACCUUCUAGCACUCUGCCAAAAAAAUAUUAGUACCGGAAAAUAGAAGUUAGCAUAUAUAACUGCUGAUUUGUCAGACAAUAGUGAAGAAGAAUUUAAAUUUUAAUUACUUGUGUGUUGUGUGAUGAGUGCUCUCCUAAGAUAUUAUCAAUUUCCUAUUACCAAGACAACUGAAACCUCAAAUGCAGGUAUACCCUGCAAAUAUGCAAAACUGUACACAUACCCUUGCAAACUUGCUACUUGCAUGCGUAUGGACGUUCUUUUGCACAUAUCCAUAUAGUAUCGCAUGAAUGCAUUUAGAUAAAGUCUUUAGCAGUUUGCAUGAAAAUAUUGACUGUGCUGUGUAUUUGCACUAUUUCAAAUGCUUGCAAGGGUAUAUAUGCAAAAAAUAAAAUCCAAAAAAGAAUAAAUUGAAGAAGAAACAAACUUGUAGCGUCGUCUAGGGGUGAUAAAGAGAAGUAAUAUCCUUUCCCAGAAUUGAUUUCCAGGAAGGCUAUCAAUGGCCAUGUAAGCGAAGUAGCCCCACAGCACUGAGGUUGGUAUCUUCUUGAUGAUUGGCAUAGCUCCAAGACAUGCACCGACCAUCACGGACUGCAAUAGAUUGCUUAAUCUCUGCUCAUUCACACGAACAGGCAAAUGGGCUUCUAUGUGCUUCUCAGGAUCAAAUGGCCCUUUCGAUUCCCCUCCCUUAGUUUCGCCUCUCAUAACUGCAUCCUUCAGUUUCUCCAGCUCUUUAGCCACUGAAUUAGCCUGCAUAAGAUAUGGCUUUUAAUUUUUUUCAACUAAUUGGAUCAUGCAAAAAUGUAUCAAAUUUGAGGACUUGUAAAGAAAGAACAGGUAAAUACUAAGGCUGUAUUCAUUUCUUUCUUCUUUUUUUUUUUUGUUUUAAAGGUUCUAAGGCUGUAUUCAUUAAUUCUAGUAAAAAAAAAUAUAAGAUUAAAGUGUGAUAGUCUGACUCACAUUAUAUCCUGCGUCCAUUUCAAUGAAAACUUCUUGCAUUUUGCCAUAAAUUUCGGAGUUGCUAGCUUGUAUCCUUAUGCCCUCUUUGGCAGUUUGUACCAUCUUCUUGUGAAGCAGCUACAUAGACAACCAAAUAAUAAGAGAUAAAACUAAUAGUUCUUGGUUAGACCAGUAAUAAGCUACCAUGCCUUUAGAAAAUUCAAACAAACCUGCUUCUUUAGAACAGCUAGACUUUUAGUGUGCAUGGGGGAUUGUGGAAGAACACCAUUUGAAGGGGGAAUCCCAAGUAAACCGCAGAUCAAGACCUGAACAUUUUGUUUAUAUUGCAAGGAAGAAAGAAGGAUAGAAAAAAGUCAUAACUUAUAUGAAGUGGGUGUAGUAAAUAAACAGACAGAAAGGUAUACCAUGAAGCCUAGGACCAAUAUAUCAUAAUGGUAGGCAGAGGGAUUCUUCAGAUUAAAUUCCUUUUGCUGUGCCAUUUGUGACGCGACACUGUGGUCAAAAAAGUAGAGCCCUGCAACCAUCACCGCAGGGACAAAAGCGGCGAAUAUAUAUACCGGAGGAACAGAGAAUAAAUCCUGCAAAUUGAUCUCGUAUUAACAUACGGAAAUUAAGUUCAAUGUGCAGUAGAUAAGCAAAUUGUGAUGGUAGUUAAAUAAACUAUCAUCGAUUUGAUAAGGUCAGAAAAGAGGCAAAAAGAGGAGAAUAUCAUAGUUUGAAUAACGCUACAGAAAUAUGCUUUAAAACAAGAUGCAUAUGCAUUAAUAAUUAAUUUGCGAAGUUUAACUUUUCUUGCAUAAAUAUUAAAAUGCCUUUGUGACGAAAAAGUAAUGCUGCUAUUAUGUCCCUUCCGAAAGCAGACUCUUUCACUACUUUCACUAUCAGGAGUAAGAAAAAUUAGUUCUCAUUCAACUCCAGUUAUUGGCAGUUAGGUUUAGCUUAACAGCAAUACUGCAAUGCUAGAAGAGGCUUUCAUGAGCUGAAUACUGUUAAACUGGACUAGUUCUUACGACGUGACACAUCACUAUGGCAACCAUAUCUUCAGUAUUCAGUGAUUACGGCAAACUUAAUGAAGGAAAAGAAUAAGCAGAAAGUAAGCCAUAAAAUCUAUUACCUUUGCAACAGUCCAAUGAUGGAGUGAUUUGGACUCCCAAGGGAGCGGACUAAAGAGCCUCCUCGGAACUCCAGAAGGAACUUUGCUCGGAACUGCAUAUGAGAAUGCCGUCCAUAAUAGGACCAUGAAAGGGACUCCAUAAUCAGCAAUAAAGCUUCUAAACCACCCUGCACUCAGCCAGUGAAAAUACCAUUCAUCACAUCCAAGAUAUCUACUAAAAACUCAACAAAUUUAGAUAUUAACAAUUAAUUUAAAGAGAAAAAUAGAAAGUUGACAAACCUGUUCCAUAUCGCCAUGCUCUUGCCCUUCUGCUCUUUAAGGCAGUAUACAGCACACCAAUCGCGAAUACAAUUCCUAGUAGCCCAUUUGUAUAGAGCCACUGGAACUGGUACAGUGGUAGAUUUUGGUCUUCACCUUUCGGAACGCUAAAUUCACUCACUAUUCCCUAUAGUUAUAAAAGGUUUGGUGAUGGAUAUUGACGCUUUUAUAGUAUGAGGAACUAAAAGAUUGGAAGCAUGUUGCAAAAUGCACCUUAAUAGCUUCUUGAAUGAACAGUACUGUGAUCAACAUCCCAAAUAGUUCUCCAGCUAUCCUUGUGAACCUGCUAAUGACAUCAGAAGCAUUGAACAUCGCGAGGAGAAAUAGCAUACAGGCGGUCCAGAUACAAACCCUGUUAAAACCAGAGGAAAAGAUUACACUUUCUUGUUAGAAAAAUCUAAAGAAAUUCAGUCCACGAAGAAAGACGAAUUGUACAAGUGUUCAUUACCAUCCGGCCCACGCCAAAUAUAGUUGCCCCCCAAGAUCAGCACGGCCUUUUGCGAAAUUGUAUAAAUACGUGUACAUGAUAACAGUUGGCUCUGCAACUCCCACAAUCAGCAUGGGCUGUCCACCGAGAAUUGAAUGUAUGAUACCACAGAUAGCAGUAGAUGCUAAUGUCUCGACUGUGCUCAGUGCUCCAUCUAUAGAAAGCCAACAAAAUAGUGACUUGACUCAUCUUAUAAUUCUAAAGCAAGCUGCAAACUUACAGAGAAGAAAGUAAAGCUGAAUUUGAAGAUAUGAUAUUAGCAUCAUAAAAUGCACUCACCGGUAUCUUUACUCAGUUGCUCUCCAAAGGCGAUCACGGGAAGCGCAGAUGCAAAGAAGAUAUACAUAGUUGGCGCCAAUAUUCUGAGAUUGAGGAAUGAGAGUGAUUACUAAAAGAAAAGAACAAAAUGAAGAACAGCAGUAACACACAGAAAGAGUAUGAAUAAUCAAACCUGAAGCCAGAACGAAAUCCGCCGACCCAAUCUUGCCUGUAGCAGGGUACUCUUCCUUUGACAUCAUCGGCAAUCCCUCUAAAAGGUCUCCUCACAAGAUCCAUCUCUGGACAAGAAGGCUCCAGAAAAUGAGAAUGAAAAUUUAAAUAUAGAAGAGAACAUAAAAGAGGUCUAAUUAACUAACAUAUAGAAGCUAAAGGGAACUAAACAUUCAUUUUAUAUCAAAAGAUUAGUUCCAAAGUAAGAAGUAAAAAGAUAUUAAGGAGGCAAAGUACAAACUGCAAGAAUGAGGUAAGUGGGUGAAGAUAUGGAUUCCUUGUCUAACAUAACACAAGAAAAUUUUCAUACAUCGACACAUACACUGCCAUGAAAACCGCUACAACGAAAACAGCUACAGCGAUUAAAGCUAAAUUUCUUAAUCAAAAAGAUUGAAACUAAUUUCAGAAAAAAAAAAAAAAAGAAGAAGGAAAACACUGCAGUGAAAACAGAUACAUUUAUGGCUCACGUAUAUUCUCGAACUGGGGAAACAAAACGAGUAAAUAAUAAAAUUAAAACAACUUACCUAACCAACAACAGCUCCUAGAAUAAAAUCCAACUAAUCAAAAAACGAAGGAAACCAAAUAUAAGAAACUGUUCUGCAGAACAUAAUGCACGUAAUGUAUAUGGAGAAAAAUCAAAUUUUGUGCUAAGCCUUAAUCUGUUGAGAUAAAUUGUCAAUUUUCCUGUAGGGUAAAAAUUAUGUAUCAUUAUUUUAUUUUAUUUUAUUUGGUCUGUAAAAUGGAGGAUGAUUCUCCAUGCGGUUCGUUAAUGGUAUAGAUUUUUUUUAAAAAAAAAAUGUCUCCAAAAGAGCUAAAUAAUGACUCCAAAAUAUUCUAAAAAUCCGUGAAAACAAAUUACCAUUAAACUCUUUUUCCCUUCCUAUCGAAUAGCUCCACAAAUAGGAAUUAGACCGGUCUCAAUAAUCAAAUCAAAAUAUAAAACCAAAAAAAGUAGGAAUUAAUAAGGAAAUCAUGCGAAAAUACAACUUCGUUGAGCACAAAGGGACUCCGAUUUAAUUGCUUUCAAAUUAGGAAACAUCAUGCAUAUUAAUUGUGCUCAAUAUAUAUUGGCCUUCAAAAAAAAGAAAAAAAAAAUUGUUUUCAAUAUGUACAGAAACACAGGAAAGGAAACAAAUAAAAACAACUAAAACAAUACCAUUUUCGAACACCAAUAAGCCACAAUACCAUUCUCGAUUCAAUACGAGUUGGCAACAGCAGAGUCAGAAAAAAAAAAUCAAAAAAUAAGAUAGAUAACGAGAAAAAAAAAAAAAAGGAAUUAGAGGAACGAGAUUAUAAUGUAUACCGAUUACGAACGUUAUUCCUCCCUCAGAGAGGGAGUUGAAUUGAUUACUAAUUCCCGUAACCCUAACAAUUUUGACGAGGGAGAGGAGGAGGAGGCGGAGGAGGAGGAGGAGGAGGUGGUUUUAAUGGCGGAGGCGUGACGCCGAAGGGCGUCAAGCGAAAUGGAGAGAGAGAGAUUAAAAACGAAAAAAAAANGAAAGAGUUUAGCAACUUGACAACAUUAUAAUCGGGGCAGAGGAGAUGGACCUAAUAGGAUAUUUAUGGAACUUGAAUUUUCUCCAAUUUGAUUUGGUCAAAUUUGAUAAUCACAUCGUUUUGUAAUUCUUGUUGUCACCUACCUCAAAACCUUAUUUCUCUUCUAGAUGAGUGUUGCUACAGGUACCCUACAAUCUAUCUAUACAUAUAUACAUAUAUCUAAUCAAGAGUUCUUCGAAGCCUUCCCGCGUUUGAAGACAGAGAGGCUCCUCGUCCCCCCUCCCUCCACCCUCUCUCUCUCUCUCUCUCUCUCUCUCUCCCUCUCCCGCUUGUUCAAAAAACACCCGCGAUGCACGGUGGGCCCAUGAAGAGAACACGUGGCGGAGUUCUGGUGGUGGAAAUGCUGGUGGUCCCAGGAUCGCUUGCGCGGGGCUCGGGGGCGCCGGGGUCGGGUUUGGGUCUCUGUUGGACGAAUUCUUUUAUUGUUGCAUGCACCAGGUGUAUGCACUGUAAUUUCCAAACAUAACUAAUUUGCGUAGUUGAAUAUAAUUUAAGCAGAUUAGCAUGACGAAUUAUAAAUGUGUUAGCAUCAUCUAUUUCUCUUAAAUAAAACUUCGGUCGUAUCUAAUAAUUUAGAUUUAUAUUUAUUUUAAUACCUGUAUAUGGUUUAACCUGGAGACUUACGCACCUGGGGAGGUGCAUGCACAGGAUUUUUUUUUUUUUGAGAAAAAGGUAGCAAGCUACCUGCUUCAUUCAUAAAAUGGGAUGAAUUAAGCGUACAAGGUGGAAGCAACGACGGCCUCCGAAAACGGCAAAAGGAGAAAACAGAGAUAAAGAAAAAAGAAGAAAAGAAACAAAGUAAGCUAGUACAAGAGUUAGGUCAGGUCAGUAUACUCCAGUCUCGAAUCAAACUGUUGAUACGUCCCGCCGAGUGGACUGUGUUUGGGGGUGCGUCCCAAAAGAUGACCGAAUUUUUAUCUAACCAGACAACCAACCAGGUUGCCGCCAGAUGAGUUAAGCCUUUAAGUUUCAACACGUCGUUUGGAGUUUUCGAUACUUUUGCCCAAAAAUUGCACACUGCUCCUGUGGUAUUAAGAAAUGCAUGGAGGUCUGCAGUAGAGAGUAGAAGGAAGCGAGGGGAAACGUAGGGCCGCACACGAAUAUUCCCCUGUAUUUAGACCGCAAGGACGAUCACCGCCCAUCACGGGAUUCGUCGCGUGGGACCCAGAGCGAGUCCACGAUCGAGUCAAGUAGUCAAACCUAGAUUGGCCCGAAUGAAUUGGGCCACCGCACAUGAGAUAUUCGGACCAACUUGCGUGCCCCGCUCGUUGGUUGAUGCGGAACGGAAUUAUAAUAAGCGGUUGCGCCGAACUCAUUGGAAUCGAGCCAAGUCCCUGCUAUUUCCCCCAUGUAUCUUAACAGUGCAAUAAGAUCCAAAACUGUUUAUCAAAACCUUCCAGUGCACACUUACUCAAAUUCACAUAAUGCAUCGCUAGCACGUGACACACGACUAAUAAGUCUAUCAAUCUCUGAUACUAGGUUAAACAACUCGAACUGAUCAACAAACUGUUAGAUGGAUAUACAUAACCUUACUACACGCUGUAUAUAGGUUAUAGUUCUUUUUUUUUUUUAUCUAACAUGAAACAGUUAUUAUUAUUCUUAUUAUUAUUGUUAUUUUUACCGACGUGCUUUACCCCCAUUGUGGUAAGUUAUGAAGAAGCGGCACUGUUGCAUUAAAUGCGAUGAGAUUUCGCGUAAGGACAAUAUUUGGUCCAGCUAAGCAACAGAGUGAAACUCAGCGGAGACAGGAAGUAACAGAAAUUGGGCUCAUCAAAUUAAACGGGUGUGGCGGAGCGCAAGCAGAGUGAACAACAUAUACUGAGGUGAUCCAGCUGGAAACGCGUGCCAGCUCAAGUUCUUUCCCGCACUGAAUUAAGAUUUAAGCUGGAGACGAUUUAUUUCUGAGCAUAUAAAUGCAAGCUUCCAUUUUUGGAGGAUUUACAUGCAACUUCACAUCCAACUACGCGUAUUCGAGGAGUAUAUGCUUGCAAAAGUUUCAAAAUGUUUCGGUGUACACGUAAGAAAGCAUACUUUCAAAACAAAGGAAAAAAAAGAAAGAAAGAGUGCUUCAAAGGCUUACACAAAUUGCUGCAACUCACUGCUAAGGUCAUCGCGACAGUGAGAGUGAUUACCGACCGUCCCUAGAGCAAGUGGCAAAGGACUUGGUGGUUGGUACCCGAGACACAAGUUCGAAUUCUAGUUGAUUCACAUUUCCAGCUAAGUUUAUUUCUAAAUGAAAUAAACGAAGCGGGUACCGUGCUACCUAUCUCUCUCUCAAAAAAAAAAAAAAGACAAUGAGAGUGGUUCUUCUUAAGCCCCGUUUGCAGAGGAGUUUAUCUAUCUAUUGUUCAUUUGUGCCGGAAUGUAUUUGAGCUAUUCACAUUCGAUGGCUUAGUUGAAUCACGACUAACGUGCACCCCAUGAAUACGCGAUGUUUUUUUUGUGAGAGAGAUAGGUAGCAUGCUAUUCGCUUCGUUUAUUUCAUUUAGAAAUAAAUUUAACUAAAAAUAUGAAUCAAUUAGGAUUCGAACUUGAAACCUUGGGUAUUAACCAUCAAGUUUUUUGGCACUUGCGCUAGAAACGGCCGGUAUGAAUAAGCUAUGUUAAUUCCAUGCAUGAGACUAGAUAGCUAGUUUUCUGUGGGUUGUGUAGGUUAGGGGGGUUUUUGUGUGAGCUGAUCUUAUAUAGCUCAGCCAUGACGUACAUAUGAUUUGAUAUAGUAAUAGACUAGACUUUGUCUUUUGACGUAUAGUUUGAUUUACUGAUAGACUAAUUAACCAUUGGCUUUUGCUGUAAAAGGACAUCUUUCUCAAGAGUUGGGUGUCUAGUAAACCUUUUCCAUAGAAAAGUCCAUGAUGAGAUGAGCUACAAGUGUUCUCCGUGAUGUUCCACUGGAACUAACCGUAGAAUGGUGAGGGUGUUUCAUUUUGCCACUACCUUUAGGGGAGAGAGAGAGAGAGAGAGAGAGAGAGAGAGAGAGAGAGAGAGAAGAGUUUUAACUUCAUGCAGAAGCCGCCUGGCAGGACCAAGCAUCAGCAAGAGGCUUUUAUGUACCUGCUCGAUAGGAAUCGUGUGAUAUUGCUUUAUUUGGAACGACAUGUAGAUCUGUGAAGAACAUCACGAAUACGUAGAGGAAUUACAUGACAAAAGCGUGAAUAUCCUGACAAGUGGUGUUACAAUGGGCCUGUAGAUCUGCGCUGAUGUGAAAUGUGCGCGCGCUUGUGGGUGACCGACAGAGAGAGAAGUGGGGCCUUUUAAAUUCACACUUUCUACCAAAAAUGCCAAUCUAAGCUGAAAUGGCACCAGAAUUUCUAAUAAGAAAAUGGAAAAGGCCCAAUCCUUUAUGUGGAACUAGGGAUGUCAAAAAAGCCGGCCCACGGCACCGCCUCGGGCUGUGCUGCAACAUGGCACUGUACCAUAGUUUUUGGUCCGGCCCGGCUCGACCCAAAUUUCACGGCCGUGCUGGGCUCUCCCCCUGAGCUCGAUGGUCCGGGGCCUGGCACGGCCAGCUUAAGCCGUACCAACCGGGCCAGCACGACCCGAAUCCUAAGGCCCCUGGGGUCUGAGCUCUCCAGAAGCUCUCCUCCCAAGGUUGAGCCGCUGCGAACUUUGGGAGGAGCGUUUUUGGUCUAACGGACCAAACAAUUUGUCCAUUAGACCACAAAUCAUUUCAAUUUUUAUUUUUAAUUAAAUAAAACAACUUAUUAUUUAUAUUUUAAAUUUUUUAACUUUUUUUCUAAAAGAAUAAAAUUUCAAAGGGCUGACUUGGAGCUCGGCCCAGCUCGUGCCUUAUGGGCCUAAAGGCCAGAAAUUCGGUAGCUCCGACCGGUCACGGCCUGGCCCUUAUUUGGAACCAGGCCAGGCCAAUCCCUUGCCCAAUUCGGCCCGGCUGUUGUGGGCCGUGCCGUCCCGGCUCACACUACACCCCUAUGUGUAACAAUCUUUCGUAUGCGAAGAACACAUACUUGACGCACAGCGAAACUAGCUGUGCAUGUCCAGUGCAAGACUUAUUUUAUUCCGGAAUAUUUAGCUCCCCAAAGAGGGUAAAUUAACCAACACUACUCUGUUCAGCAUGGUGUACAUUUGCAGGCCCAGACAGGUUCCAUUCUAAAAGUUUAAAUAAGCGAUGAACGCAAUCGACAUCAUCAAAUAUCAUUCAUGACAAAUCCGAUACAGAUUUAACAAGUUCAUGACACAUUAUCACAGAACAAAUGCCUUUGAACAUGAUCAACUAGAAAAGCAUAUACAGAUCACCUACAAAGAACAAAAUGAAAACAAAAAUGACAAAUUUCUCGGUCUUCCCUUCACCCUAGUUAGUGAUCCUAGUUCUGCAUAUGGAACAUGAAUUUCUUGAAGCAAACCCAUUCGGCGAUUACUGAUAAAACAUCAGCUAUGAAGGUAGAGUGAGCCCUAAUGGUGGUAGGUUUUAAUGUCUUCUAGUUUAUUCACCAGUAAAUAUGUUAGCUCUUCCUACAGGUAUGCCAUUCUCCAAUCUAUCUAUUUGAGGAAAUCACAAUUGAACUUUCAUCUCAUCAGCAGAAGGGCAUCACGAUUUCGUCCCAGUAGGCUCAGUGCUGUGGCUGCGAUAUGAUGACCACUCAGACCGGCCAUUUCAAGCUGUUCCCUUGGGGUUGCGUGCUCUAUAUACUUGUCUGGUAGUACGAUGGGCCGCCACUAGAAUAAAUUAAAGAAACAGUAUUAUUAGCAAGCCGCAUUUUCUUUUUCUUGUCAAAAAACAAUAAGAGUUGCUGUAAAUUUGUUUAUAGGAAGAAACAUGUCCAUGUUUCAACAAUACUUGAAAAGAGAUGGCCGAAUUUUUGUUAUUGCAGUGUACUGAAAUAUAGGAUUUUAGGUAGUAAAGGGGCGCAAGAGAGAGACCUUAACACUUCUAUCAAGUAAACCAUCGAGUGCAAUGAACUGUGAGACAUGGGAGCCAAACCCGCCAAUAGUUCCUUCCUCAACAGUGAUAAGAAAAUCAUGUUCCCUACAUAGCUGUCGCACAAGAUCGAGGUCAAGUGGCUUGCAGAACCUCGCAUUAGCAACAGUCACUUGGAUGCCAAGAGAGGCAAGAAGAGAUUGAGCCUUUAAGCAAUUCUGAACCAUCACACCAUAGCCUAGUAAAGCUAUAUCUUUUCCCUCAACGAGAACUUCCCCCUUCCCAAUCUGUAGGAUGAGGCAAAAUUGGAAAAUAGGUUACGAAUUAACUUAAUUGUUAAACAAAACUCAGGGACCAAUCAAAUAAACCUGUUAGAUUCAGUCUUACUUCUUGCAAAAGAAACUAAUUUUAGUUUCAUGAUCAGGUUAGUUAGUAAUCUACACAAGAAGAAUUUAGUAAAUACCUCAAUCACUAAAUACCUCAAAUUUCCUGUUAAAAAUUUCUGAUUAUAAAGAACUACAUUAAAAAAUAUGGAUAAUCAAUAAAAAGUUUAAGGCAUCAUAAGAUUCAUGAAGGAAAAGAGAAAUUUUGUUUAUGUCCGAAGCUGCUAUUUGUAUUAUGCAUGCAACAGACUGCAUAAUGUUUUAACAUCCAUAUGUAAGUCAUGUACCACUGUCUAGACGUCAAGCCAGGUUGCUUAGCUUGAUGAUGUAUUCCAAGCGAAAUAUAAUAGAACCAGAACCAGGUUGUUUAGCUUGAUGAUGCACUUUAAGUGAAAUAUAAUAGAGAAACGAGCAAUCUUACCUCGAGGGGAGUCCCACAAUUUAAAAGGCCAUUUAAACCAACAACUGCACCCCGUGGAUACCGGAAGCAAACUGGCCCAUCAUCAAUGGAUGCUGCAGUGGCCACCAUGUCAAUAAGCUCGUCUUCGUCUGAUGGUGCCAUCACAAUCAUGUUUGGUAAGCAUGACAUGAAUGUUACAUCAAAAGCUCCACACUGGGUGGGGCCAUUAGAGCCCACAAGCCCGGCGCUUGUAAUUGCAAAUCGAACAGGCAACCGCUGCAAAUCCACAUCUUGGAUGAUCUGCAAAGAAACUUGUAAGUAUGACAAGCUCAUGAUUUUUUAGUCAGAAUAUGGUCUGAUAAACGUUUAGCGUUAGAGAAGAAAAAUCUGAAGUGACGUUAAUAAAUUUAAUGUUCAGUAAAUUUUACAGAUGUGAAUACAAAAUUAGCCGCAGAUCAUUAAAUAAUGUCUCACCAUUCUAGAUUUUCAUAGCUUUUCAGCCACAAGAAGAACAUCCACCCCAUACAAAAACUUCACAUACAGGAUUAAAAAAAAAAAGAAGAUAAAUAAUACCUGAUCAUAUGCUCUUUGAAGAAAAGUAGAUGGAAUUAUGCAGAAUGGCUUUAAAUUUCCACAAGCUAAACCUGCAGCAAAAGUGACAGCAUGUUGCUCGGCCAUGCCAACAUCAAAAAACCUGUCAGGGAAUCUGGACUGAAAUAGUUGAAGUGAUGGAUCAACAUUCAUGCCCGCAUGAACCACCACAAUCCGUUCGUCCCUCUCCGCUUCUGAUACUAAAGCUUCAACAAGGCAGUCAUUGUAUGUCCUUGAGAGGUUGCCAUCCAAAAAUCUAGGACCUGUCCUUAGCAAAGCUGAAUAUCAAGGCCCCUGGUGUAGGUUUAGAAAGAAAAGAAGGAAAACAUGCUUGGAUAAUCUGUGCACUUUAAUGAUAUUACAUUUUUAUCCCUGAGCUUUUCACCUAAGACUUUUCAGUGCCUGAAAUUUCCUAUGUUUUGCAGUUACAUUUCUGGCUUCAUCUCUGUCGUAUAACCCCUGAACCAAAUAAAAUCACAUGCUCUGAACAAGACUCCAAUUAUGUAAUAAUCAACCAUCCUAUCCCGGUUCUGAAUAAAGGGGAAGAACAUGAAAAAGGCUACAAUGGUCAUUUUACAUGGCCUGGAUCACAUGCAGAGCAAGUGCCUUGUUGGAUGUUGGAUGGAAAACUGCGCCAACAAUGCAAUUGCAAAUUAUAGGAAAGUUUUGGGACUAAAAUGUUUAAGCGGAAAGUUCAAGGUUUAGCAAUAGUGAAAUAAGUCUAUCCAUACAUUACCCAAAAGAGAAAUACUCAACAAAAAUUAUAGAGAAAUUUCAUUCAGAAUAAUCAGGUACCAUGUACUUUGGGGGUUGUCUUAGUUCUAGAGUUAUCUUGUGGCCCCUUAUUCUCUUCUGUUAUAACAUGUAUCAGCACUGGUCCAGUAGAAUCCAACGUGGCGACCUCAUUAAGUACACAAAUCAGAUCAUCAAUGUUGUGUCCAUCUACUGGCCCAAUGUAAUACAAUCCAAGUUCUUCAAAGAGAGUUGCUCCGAGUGGACCCAUCAUACCACGAGCAUACUCAUCGACUUUGGCAGCAAUUUCAUGCAUACCUUUCCCAAUCCUUUUUGUGACACCCUAAUAGAACAAUUGCAAGAACACAAAUAAAGAAAGAAAGAGCGUCUAUCAGUUAAAUAUACAGAAAUUCAAGCCUCAAAUACUAACUGCUUGGAUGCUCUACUUGAGGUAUUUGAUUCUGAGAUUAAACCAUCUGAUUUGGUUGGACCAAUGAAGGUUUCUGAUAGAAAAUUGAGCAUUUCAACACACAGAUAGGAGCAGGAGAAAGAAGGAAACUGAUUUGCUAUAUGCUCUUUGAAAAGUGGGAAAUAAAUUAGAGUACGAUGCUCUUCGCUCAGUUUGCAUGUGCUUUUUUAAAAGACAAGCAAAUAAAACAUGGAAAAAACUCAGUUGUUGUUAUUAUUUUUAUUAUUAUUAUUAUUCCUUUUUUUUUACUUUGUGCUAAUUACCGACUAACAAAUAAGAGGUACUAGUUCCUUUACAAUUAAAAAUAAAAAAUAAAAGUAGAUACCUUAGCAGCUUCUCUGAAUCUCCGAAAUGAUUUACUGGAUUGAAGCUUGCUUAGAGUACUGGAGAGGACAUUGAUAGCCAUUUUUGGUCCUUCAUCUGGCUUAGGAAGCAGCGAGUGCCGGCUAUCGUUUAAAAUUACUACCAUAUUAGAAUCAAGAUAACCAGCAUUGCUCAUUGCCUCAUACACCUGACCAGCCAUUGUUGACCAAUUACUUAUAACUGUUACAAUACGAUUCUUCUUUCCAUUUAAAUCCCUUGCAACUGCCAUGCCUGAGCAAAAGAGAAUAUUGUCCUUUUAUGAGUCCUCUAUACCUACAGAACAUAAUUGCCUCAAGUGAAAUUAGUAGCCGAUGAUUUAGAGAUUUAAGCAACUUAUCUCGGUACUCAUUCUUAACUAUCCAUGAACUAAUCAUUAAGAAUAGGCACACCUUAGCACAUUUAAGUUUUCAUACUUGAUUUUGGUCAAACCAAACUAUCAAGAAAAGAAGCAUUUAAUUGUACUAUUGGUCAUAACUGAAACAAUAAUUUCAGUAGUUGCUAUGUGAAUCUACAACUAAACUUAGGAGCUACUAGUAAUAUAUGACAAGAAAAAAUGUUCAUAAAUUUUAACCAAUAUUUCAGAUACAAUUACAUUUUACCCAUAAACACACAUAUAGUAGUUGAAUUUUCUGAAUACUAGGUCUUACAUUUAAGGUAGCGACCCAACUGUCAGUUAAGAAGGUAAGCUACAAACAUCUACCAAAACUAAAUUACACCAUAAACAAUUCAGUAAGUCAAAUUAGAAUCAUACCAAGGCCGGCAGAAACACUAUUACAUCCAUGUCCAGCACCAAAUGCAUCAUACUUACUCUCAAGACGAGAUGUGAAACCUGAAAGACCAUUUUUUUGCUUAAGUGUAUGAAAGAGGGAGCGUCUUCCAGUGAGAAUCUUAUGUGCAUAUGUCUGUUCAAGGAACAAAUUUAUUUAACAUCAAUGGCUCCAUUGAGAAGUUAAUAAACAGGAACUAACAGUAGUAGUGGAGAGAGAUGGUAAAACUGAAUGAAGACCCCUCAACUAUAGGAGAUUUUGAAAUAGACCCCCCCACUUUACAUGCUUUGAUUGACACUCCAAUUUCUCUCAGUUGGAUGGACGGUUCUGUUAAUAUGAGCAGCAGCAUUAGCUAUUGGUCGUGCUAUGACCCAUUGUUUUUUAACUGAAAAGCAGGCAGAGCUGUUAAACAUAAUAAAAUUGCCAUUAAAAAUAUAGGAAUCCCGGUUUAAGCAAUGGAAAUAAUUCAGAUCAAAAGAAUCAAAAGUUGGGGAGGUGUCAAUUAAAAAUAAAAAGAAAAAGUUGAGUGUCCAUUUAAAAAAGGCAUAUAGUUUAGAGGGCCUGUAUACAUUUUUACUCGAAAUUUCUCACACCUGUUCUCCAACAUCCCACAAUAUGUUAUCCAUUGGGGCAUUGAAAACAUAAUGUAUAGCAAUCGUCAGCUCCACUGCAGCAAGACUAGCUUGAAAAUUCCUACGUGAUUUUGACAUCAUGAAUGAAAUCUCUGACCGAACUUCAUCGGCUAAUUUUUUUAGCUCCUGCAAUUAACUUCAGCGGUAUCAGUCAUCAACUUCUUUUAAAUUGCAACGACCUUUCGCCUCAAAUCUAAUUGAUAGAAACAACGUGUCCCCUAGUACCUUAUGAGACAGUUUUUUCAAAUGACUUGGUGUAUCAAUCGUGUCUAGUAAUGGCGUUGGGGCCUUCUCCCAGAAAAAAUCACCAACAUCAGGUAAUGCAGAUACUGGCUUAACCAAAACCUGAACACAAAAGAAGUUCAACUGCACAUCAAUUCCUGAGAAUGAAACAUAAAAUACAAAACAGCAGAAACCCCUAUUCGAAUCGAGCAUGAGUAUCUAAGCAAAUUAUUAAUUAAAAAGCACCUUUCAGGACCAAAGAUUAUAACAUGAAAUUACAUCCAAAGCAGCAAAAUAGCUAUGUGAGAUCAUUAAUGACUAGUCAAUUUCCCACUCAAAUAGAGCACAGUGUAAUAAAUCAAAAUCUAUAUCUUCUUUGCCGAGCCUUUUUUUCUCAUAUAUUCUAUUAAAUGUGCCUCGAAAUUUGGUUAUCGAGUUUGAUUUUUUGUGCCCCGAUUCGCCGUCCGAUUCGCGUUAUUCCGUUUUGUAAUCUCUAGAAAUUGUACUCCCUUUUUCAUAUAGUGAAGUUUUCUCCUCCUUCGGCCGUGGUUUUUUUCUGUAAAGGAUUUUUCACGUAAAUUCUUACGUUCUAUUUUUUUUAUUGCUUUAUGGUUUGUCCACUUCACCACCGUCGUUUUCGUUUCUAUUUAUGUGCUCGUUGUAACAUAUUCAACCUUCUUAUACCUCUAAAUUUGUGAAUAACCAACCCCAAAUACUUUACACUCUCAUUUUUAUAUUUAGUGUACCGUAGCAUUCCUAAAUUACUUCCGACAAUUUGAAGAGAAAACAGUUACUCUCUACCUUCGACGAAUGAAUAGGCACAAGACUUUUGUUUAAAACGAAUUUGAAGCAAUCUCUUCUUAAGCAUUGGGGGACAUCGAAGAAGUGAAGUCUCAGCUUCGGGAAAUUCGGUUCCUCAUGAUCCAUUCCGCAGCCGCCAAGCGGACAGCGAGCAGACGCAGAAGCCAUCUUCGCAAAGGAGAAACGCCCAAUAGUCUGAAUCCCCUCAAUUUUAUCAACUGGAAUAAGAAAAGAGUUGAUAGAGAAAAUUGCAGCUAUGUGGUGUUAGUAUCUAAAAGGAAUUAUUUACUAGGAGGCCCUAAUUGAUGCAAAAAAACAUAUGGGAGGAAACAAGUAAAUGGAAAAUUCACAAAAAAAUUCCUCAUAAGAAAGAGAACAAGACCAAAUCCAGAACUUAAACAAUACAAGGUGAAGAAAAAAAAAAAACAAGAAAUUGAUUCGAUGUAAGAUGUUUAGGAGAGGAGGCAUCUCAAUCCGACCGAAACAAAUAAGCGAGACAAAUCAGCUUCAAUCGGAGAGUUUGACAAAAAUUAGCCGCCAAAUAAGUCCGUUUACGAAAAAAUCAAUUGAGAGAAGAGCACGACAGUAAAUUUGAUCCCAAAAAACCAUAAAACGCGACUAAAUCCCCCCAAAUUUCAUCCAAAAAAAAAAGAGAAAAAUAAUCCAAUAAAGAGAAAAAUAAUCCAAUACUACGAUGGACAAAUCAGAUUCACAUCACGCAAAAUGGGCAUCGGUGAAUUAAAUUACGGGAAACUGGAUUAUUUCGAAAAGAUUAUGCUGCGAAAUUAUUUCUUACUGAUUAAUCUCGGUAUUGCGGGGUGAAAUCACAUGAGAAAAAUGUGGUAUCGAGAGGGAGCUGGGAAAGAAUAAAGCGAGUCGUCCUGUCUCGGGCCUCUGUGCGGAGAUAGCGAGAUGGUUUUAGAAUUCGACACGGAACACGUGGCUAGCAUCUAGUGGAUCUGCUGAUUCGUUUGGGAUCGGGCCAUUACGGGACCGAAUUCGACCACGAAGCUUCUUCUUAUCGGGACUGAACCAGAUGUAGCUUGAGGUUCGAACCAGACCCGAUGGCAGGAUAGUGCCCGAGAAGCUGAGAUAACGACUUGGGUAUCUUACCGUAUCGAUGUAAAAUAACAAAAUACAAUUGCAUCCCUAAUAAGCACAUCGUGUUACCGGAUCCGUUAACGGACAUGAAUAUUUUCAGACGCAAGAUAUGCUUCAUGUUAAAGGUAAAACUACGCACUUUAAAGAAUCUUUACAAGAGAUUUCAAGCCAAAAAUCAGAAAAAAUGUUGAAAUUUUAACAAGAUCAACGAUCCUCCUCAUAGGUCGAAUGAUAGUCUUAGGUCGAUUGAUAAUUUGAUGUACACAGAGUAACAAUGUCCAAGAAGAAUGGACAAAACUACAUUGCCUAGCAGAUGAAAUCGACUCCACCUUCAAAACAAAAAACCAAAUAUCUCAUCAAUAUGGAACAUUUAUAAUCUAACUGCAAAACUUCAAAACCGCUCCACACAGAUUAUUAAAUUCACACUCGAAUUGCCUAAGAUUUUUGUAAUGAUGUCAGUAACAACAGAGAAGAAUAAGCUGAAACUCGGCGUAUGCCGUCUAUCGUCGUGAAGCAUGCUUAAACAAAAUAUCAUGCAGCAACCAAUGAUUACAUCUGAAGGCUAUUAGAACCAUCGACACAUGGAAGAGAAAAGCCUUAUGACGUAUAAUAUUUCCACCGGAAGAACAAGAAAACAGUGGCUGUCUGCCGAUGCGCCAUUAAGUCGAUAACUGGAUACAAUGUGUUCUUCCAAAGACACCCCGAGAAUAAAAAGAAAAAAGCUGAGUUACUUCCAUAGCUUCCGAAGUGACAUAUUUUUCUCCGUAUCUUUCUUCAUCACCUUCGCCACUGCCAUCUCGAAAUCUUCUUGGGUUACAUGUACUCUUCUCUCCCUGAGAGCAAACAUCCCUGCUUCUGUGCAUACUGCCUGGAAACAUAAAGUGCACGAGAACCAAAAUGUUACUUGAAAUCACAAUUCACAAAUCAACAAAUAGUUACACAAAACAAAAUAAGAGAUUGAUCUGUUUUAGGGUUUUUGAAUCACAAAUCAACAAUAACAAUGCAAAUUAAAAGUAAGAGAUUCAAUUGUUUCCUUGGCUCCUGAACCACACCAAGCAACGGAUGACCUAAAGAUAUCGAACUCUUCAACCAACUCCAACAUAACAUAACAAGCAUGCCGUUAAAGAAAGGAAAACUGUUUAAUUAUAUGAAAGAUACCAACCUUGAGUUCUGCUCCAGAUGCCCCAUUCAUCUUCUCUGCUAUCUUUUUAAGGUCAAUCCCCCUCAUUAAGUUCAUCUUCCUUGAGUGAAUUUUCAAGAUAUCGAAACGAGACUGAAAAAUAUGCAGUGUGUCAGGUACACAAGUUCUAGCGCAUAAUUGUCAAAAAUAAUACGAAUGUAAUCAAAUGGCAAGCACCUCUUCAUUGGGAUUUGGAAACUCGAUUUUUCUAUCAAUUCGACCAGGCCUGAGCAGGGCUUGAUCCAAUAUAUCAAUGCGAUUUGUAGCCAUUAAAACCUGCUCAAGAAAGUUUCUAUUUAGCAAACCUACCUCAUAGUAGUAAGUCCACUUGAAUAAAUGACAUACAGUACAGACAUACUAUAAAACAAAAGCCAAAAAAAAUACUUUGAUUUUAUUCGACGCUUCAAACCCGUCUAGCUGAUUGAGAAGCUCGAGCAUUGUGCGUUGUACUUCACUGUCACCAUUACCACUGCCCGAUUCCAUCCUAGCGGAUCCAAUACUGUCGAUUUCAUCCAUGAAAAUGAUUGAUGGAGCAUGUUCCCUGAAAAUCAAAUUUAUUGAAUUUAACACUAUGCCAGUCACAAUAUUACAGUACAGCUGAUUAAUAUAUAAACAUACGCCAAAGCUAAAUGUGAACUCAGAGGCAAUUUACUUGGUUGAUGUUACUAACCAUACGAAAGUGUUUAGUUGGGAAAUUUCUAUCCCAGGGACGGUAGUUAAUGUCCCUCAGGAUAAUGCUAUUUCUAGGAGCUAUACCCACUCCACUGCUUUGGUUAAAGGAAAGAACUGUCGUGGGAAUGUCACAAUCCCAACCAGCUCCAGGGAACUGUUAUUGGACAGGUUCACAUCGUUGCGCUGGGGAUAUCUAACCCAUCCAAUUCCAAAUGGGGAUACACCACUUAACACCAUGUUUGGUGGGGCGGCAGGGAUAUUCUCUACUACCCACCAACCAUUACAUUCGUACAUGAAGGGAUUAUGACUCAGAAAUUGUCAAUACACAUGAUUAUAAGAUGGUACUUUAUAAAUGUAUGUUGAUUAACAGUUAAAUAUUAUUAACAAUUAAAAACUAGCUAAUUCAACAAAUUGGCCGCAAAAAUACUUGAAAUAGAAGAUAUUGUUCACACCUAGCCAUCACAAACAGCUCCCGAACCAUUCUGGAGCCCUCUCCAAUAUACUUCUGAACCAACUCAGAACCAGAAACUCUAAUGAAGGUGCAAUCAGUAUGAUGUGCUACUGCUCUAGCUAGCAGAGUUUUUCCUGUACCAGGAGGCCCAUAAAGCAAAACACCCUGCCGAAAUAAAAUUUAGUAUUAGUUUCACACCGUCAAAUUACUAUAGAAGUUAAGAAAUAAUGAGGAAGAGGAUCGAACAAGAUGAUAUCCUCAUACCUUUGGUUGAGCAAUUCCAAGGCUUUCGAAUAAUUCAGGAUGCUUGAUUGGAAGCUCAAUAACCUGUAAAUCAAUAGGAAAUAUGCUAAAAUACCAGAAGUGCUAGCCUCUAUUUCUAAGAUGCACUUUUGCUCUUUCUUCACUAACCUCCUUUAUCUCUUUAAUUUGCUGAUCAAGGCCACCAAUCAUAUCAUAAGUAGAAUCAGGAACCUUUUCAACCUUCAUAAGAUUGACCAAAGGAUCAACCUUGCUGGGCAAGACCAAGUGAAGCAUAUAGCUAUCAUUCCGUAGAGCAACUCUAGUUGAUGGUGUUAUUUUCGUUAUGUCAAUGUUCUUGUCAAUAUCAACAACAUAUUUCCCUUCCGGAUGGACCUGAAAGAAUAUCCGAGGGUUUAAAAUCUCUAUAUGUUCGUUACACCAACAACCAAGCAGCUAAAUAUUGCAAACAAGUAACAGAAGCAACCAAUCACAAAUUAUAAUUUGCAACUGAAAGUAGAUAAUACUCUUAUACUACAAAAACAGUGAUAUUUCUUAUCCCUGAGAAUAAAUAAAGAUAUGAUUUACCUUGACUAAAACUUUAGAUUUUCCCAUAACCUUCACCACCUCGCCGACAUAUGAACCAGGUUCCUGAAGUAGCUGCAGCUCUUCUCGUAGCAUUCUUACUGCAAUUUGAGAACCCAAAUAUAAUAUAAAAGAGUAAAAGAAAGAAACUAUACGACAAAAGUACAGAAAAAACUCACAAAUAGAUUCAGGAUAUUGAGGAAACAAUUAAAAAUAUUAGGAACACAUUUCGAGGGAGAUAUAAACGAGAAUAAACAGCACAGGUUAUUCUACAAUAUACCGUUAUAUCAAAUGUCAGGAUUCAACUUCAGACGUAAUAGAGGUUGUCAAAAUUGCCAAUAGAAUCAACCAUACCUUUCAAUAUUAACAUCAUUCCACUCAAAAAGAAGAUCAAAUACUUUAUACUUUAAAAAACAGAUCACUGAUCAAGUAAGAACAUAUUGUUUCACUCCUAAGACGUGCCUUAGCCAAUCUAAAAGUAAUUCCCGAUGUAGAGUUCAUAUAUGUAAACAACCGAUCGGGAAGUAAGAUAAGAAACCAAGUUUCACAUCUCCAUAACCUCACUAGUAUCAGUAUGUCAACUGUAAGCCAUCGCCUAUCCCUCAGCAAUCCCAAAUAAUCACCUACAAAUCCCCCGAUCUAACUCCAGAUAGAUCGUAAACAUCAAAAAAUAUAGUAGAUCCAAAGUUAGCAACGAAAUGGCUUAGAUCGAGUUCGAACAAUCAAAAUUAGGGUUUCAGGAAUUGAGGACUGACCGCGGGAGUUGAGAUCGUUACGCUGGGCCUCGAGGCGAUUGAGAUUGUGGGUCUUCUGCCGGAGAAUGAGCUGGAGAUCGUGGAUGUGCUGCAUAUAAUAUUGCUUCAGCCCCUCGCCGCCUCCGCUUCCCCUCACCCUCACCGGCGGUGACCACACCUCAUCCUCCACUCUCCCCCGCUUCGUCGACUCCACCUCCGCCGUCGCCAUACGCUCCUCCCCCACCGGUACACGCUCAGCGCCCACCGCCUUCGCCGAGGGUUUUGCCUUUCUAUGCAAGCAAGGAGAAAAAACAAAUGCGGUGCGGUGCGAGCUCAACUCCAAGCUCUGUUUAUUAAUUAUUAUAGAGGAAGAGAUAGUAAUGGACCGGGUUUGGGCUUCGUCGGGGCCCAUCGACUAAAUAACAACCAUUUGGGCCAGUGGAUGCGGCCCAAUGUCUUCUUCGCAUUUUCCCUUGCUUCUUCAAUGCCUGAGAUAAGAAUAGUUUAACAAUCUUCCAUCGUCGGAUCUCGAUCCAACGGCCGAGACUCACAAACCAAUCACAUUGAGAGACGCGAACACCUUUAAAAAGCACUCCGUUUGCAGGUGGAGGUACGCCGUACACGCAACAGGAUUCUCCCUCCAUUUUCCCUUUCGCCCUUCGACUCCUCCUUUCCUCGCGCCGCGCCCUUCUUCUCCUCCGUAGGUUUCUCGGCUCUUUCUCCCCCUGUUUUCAAUUUGUUCUGUGAAUCCAGAACUAAUGCAUAAUGUAGUGAUAGUUACUCUCAAUUAGUUACUUUUUUUCUCCGUGUUUUUUUGAUUUUGUUUGUUAGUGUUCUGAGUUCUAGAGGAUUUCCUCGCCUCUUUUGUUACACCGGAGCUAGGGUUUGGACUUUGACUUGGGAUUUUUAUCUCUUUGGGUCCCCAUUUUUUUGAAUUCAGCUGUCACAAUUGAUCCUUUACUGGGGGAUUUCUUCGACGGUCGUACUGAUGGAGAAGAAGAAGAUGAAGGGGGCGGCGGAUCCGAUCGUCUGCCCCGGGCACUCACGGCCGGUGAUGGAUUUGUUCUACAGCCCCCUCACUCCCGACGGAUUCUUUUUCAUUAGCGCCAGCAAGGGUCAGAGCCUCUCCUUUGCUCUCGCAAUUAAGGCUGAUGAGCAUUGCUAUCUGAAAUUGAUAGUUCUUACUUAUAUUUCAUAGGUAACUAUUAAUUUUCAUGUGCCUAUCGUGUGUUUCGAUUCUUUUGAUGAAGUGCAAAUGUUCUAAUUUCUUUUCGCCUUCUUGAUCCCUUGAAUUGUCAAAGGAGCUCAUUCGACUGUCGGACAUAUUACUAUGGUCUAGGAACUAAUUGGUGUUUCAUUUUAGGUUGCUUGCUAAUGUAUUAAAUUGUCGUGCUUAUUACCUAUUUAGAUGCAGAAGCCAUGCUGAGAAACGGUGAGACAGGGGACUGGAUUGGAACCCUCAAAGGCCACAAGGGUGCGGUGUGGAGUUGUUGCUUUGACUCCAAGGCUUUACGUGCAGCGACUGCUUCAGCUGAUUUCUCAGCGUACGGCUUCUUGCUUAUUGUGACAAUCUUUGUUAAUGUGGAAUGAGGAUUGAGUCUGAUGGAUAAAUGAUAACUCAGAUGAGAUCAUGGUUCAUUCAGACUAUUUAUUAUCUCAAUGUUAAGAAGGUGGUUUUUCUUGCAGAAUAGUUGGAAAUUCAUAAUGCUGUAAGUUAAAAGCUGUUGGAUUCAAUGACACUAAUUGUAAUUGUUCUUCUUUCCUUUGCAGCAAAAUAUGGGAUGCCUUGAAUGGUAAUGAGCUACACUCCUUUGAACAUAAGCACAUUGUCCGUGCGUGUGCCUUUUCUGAGGUAAUGAGUGCUUUUAGCUUUCGUUUGGAAUCAUCUUUUUGCUACUGUUACAUUUGUUCACUGUUGUCUAAUCCUGUACUUCAUGUGAUCACCCCACUGAUAUAUGGAUAUACAAGUGCUACUAAUUCUGUCCCUUAAUCAGAAAUGCAAUCCCUCUACACUUGUUUCUUUAUACUUUAGCAGCUGCAUCCACGUUAGGUGGGGAAAAAGAAAUCCUGUAGAGCAUUUCUUCAUUUAUAUUAUCUGGUCAAGGAUUGAGGGACUUGUCUUGGGCUUUUUUUCCACUGUGAGAGAUGUCCUACUGCAUGUUUUCAAAAAUCUGCAUGUACGAGAGAUGGUUCUAGGAGCCUCUCAGUCUGGGUGUUUUUGUGUUGUUGAAACUUAAGGUUAUUCAAGUUUCUGCUCCGUAACUAAACUUAACCUUCUGCAGGAUGCCCACCUCUUACUUACUGGAGGUUUUGAGAAACUUUUACGUAUAUAUGAUUUGAAUCGUCCGGAUGCAUCUCCAAAAGAAAUUGACAAGUCACGUGCUUCUGUCAGAACUGUAGCUUGGCUUAAUAAUGACCACGCAAUACUAAGUUCUAGUUCUGAUAUCGGAGGCAUGAGGUUUGCACCCAUUUAUCUUCUCCUAGUUCUUCUCUCUGUUUCUGAUAGCCUCUGUGCUAUUUGCUUUAUUCAAUGACACAGAUUGCUCAUAAUGCAUACUGCCUAUCAUAGAGAGAGGUUACUUCUAAUUUAUUACUUUACAUUGACUGGUUGCUCUUUACAAUAUACAUUAUAGUAGUAUGUCUACAAGAAAGAUGUUGCAUUAGAGUUCCUCAAGCUCUCCUUGUACAUGUAGUGUUGUUAAGAAUGUUUUAUUUCUAAAUUAUUUGCAUGGCAAAUUUUCUCAUGUGGGUGAGAUUGUUUUUUGAGAGAAAGAUAGCAUACUACCCACUUCAUUUAUUCUUUUAGAAAUAAACUUGGCUGGAAAUGUAAAUCAACUAGAAUUCGAACUUUUGACCUUGGAUACCAACCACAAUCUCUUUGCCACUUGCGCUAGGGACAGUUGGUGAGAUUGUUGAAACUUGUUUUAUCAUCCCUCGUCAUGUGAAUACACUAUUUCACAGGUUAUGGGAUGUGAGAAGUGGUGAAAUUGUUCGAACACUUGAGACUGGAUCACCUGUCUCUAGUACAGAAGUUAGUCAAGAUGGUCGGUUCAUCACUACUGCCGAUGGCUCAACUGUCAAAUUUUGGGAUGGCAACAGGUAAACCUUCCUAAUAUAUUCUUUCUCCUACAAAAUUGGACUAAUUUCUUCUUUUCACCUCGUCCUUAUUUUUUUUUGUGCAGUUUUGAACUCAUAAAAAGCUACAACAUGCCAUUCAACGUGGAAUCUGCUUCACUGGAGCCAAAGUUUAAAAGGUACAUUGCUGGAGGAGAAGACAUGUGGGUUCAUGUCUUUGAUUUUCACACAGGAGAUGAAAUUAGUAAGUUUAGGAUUCUUAUUUCUAUUGCUUUUUUCCUUUCUUUUUUUAACUUGCAUGUGGGUUGAGCUAAUGCUGCUCAAAGUGCUUUUGGAUAUACCUGAAUGCCAUUUCGUUUCUUUGUUAUAAAUUGAAUAUGAAUACAUGUUUUCCUGGACGCAGCAUGUAAAAAAGGCCACCAUGGGCCUAUCCACUCUGUUCGCUUCUCUCCUGGUGGUGAAUCGUACUCUUCUGGAUCCGAGGAUGGCACCAUUAGAAUAUGGCAAAUGGAGCGCACUGCUGUCAAUAAGAAUGAGAUGUCCCAAAAGAUUGAAGAAAUUCCACUUUAUAAGGACGGAACGCAGUGAGGAUUACGAUACUGCUGUGAACUGGUUAUAAUCAGGGUUGUCCGGUUUUUCUCCUAUUCUCCAUUGAAUGAGGUUUUCAGCAUCCGGUUUGCCAGCAUCUUUAACAUCAGAUCGUUUUGUCUGUUGGGGAAACAAGCUAGACGAAAUUCUUGCAUGAAUGCCCCUCUAGAAGGCACUUUUAACCUUGUGCUUUGUGACUAAAUCUUAUCAUGGAGAAAUAGAGAAAUGGAAGAAGCUUUUUGGUGUUUUCUGAUGCUGUAGUUUGCUUGACUAUUGUUGCUGAGAAUAUACCAUUUUAUGUCUCGCAUCUGUGAGAAGAAGCUUACGUCUUCACCCUGCUAGAGAUCUGCGAUGAUGGCCUUUCUCCAAUGUUCUUUCUGUACUGAUGUAAUUGUUGUGUUUUGUUGCACUUGAGAGGAUGUUGCAUACGAGAAUACACUGUCACUAGUUGAUUAACAAUGAACAGAUCCGCUGCCGAUUCAAUAUUCUCCAAGAGAAGACAUGAUUUGGGUGAAUUGAGGGCACAGAUGGCAGAUGAGCUUCAAUCUCGAUAAAGUUAAAUGAUCAGGACAUUUCAAAUUUGGGAAUGCAUUUUAUUUUUUCUAGAUAGUAUCCAAUGUGUUUGGUAAAAAUAGCAGUCAUAUAUAAAGUUGUAUUGAAAGGAAGAAGGAAAGGCACUUUGUAUAAGUUAAAGGGUUUUGAGAUAUGCCUUGGAAAGGCCGAUUCACCGAUCAGUCUACCAAAUUUAUCAGUGCUUGAUGCUUGCGCUUGGAACUGAUGCCGUGAAUUGUCUACAUCAACUUAGUGCGGUUGCAGAGAGAGGUGAAACGUGUUGCCUUACCUUGUUUUUUUCUUUCAUCUUUUGAUAUAUUUACCUUUUAAUUGCUAAAUAUGUGCUAUUCUGCCUUCACUGAGGAUUUAUUCUCUCUCAAUUGAGCUCCAUUGACGUUUUUAUCUAGACUGUAGUGAAGUUUCAUAAUUAACAUUGCAAUCUUUAUGACCACAUAAGAUUGAUUAAAAGAGCCUUCAUUGUGGCUAUGUAUAAAAUGACAUUUACAAUUAUUUAAGCUGAUUAUGUUUAAUUCAAUAUAAUCAGUGCAACAAACAAUUCUAUUAGUUUUUCAAACUACUAAUGUCAUUGUUGUAGUUACUAUCAUCUUAUUAGCUGGAAGUAUAAUUGCAACUUUACAUGAUUUAAACAGAACUAAGCUAAAUAGUCUUAAUCCAAGCAAAUUAAUAUAAAUUCUUGGUUCUAAGAUCUUUUAAAAGCUUUUUUUUUUUUUUGAGGAAACAGGGGUAUACCCUAUUUGUUUUAAAAGCAUUUUUGACAUUAUAUUGGCAAUUAAAUUGCUUUCUAGGCGCAGGUUAUGGUUAGAGCACACACAGAAUAUGAGCAAGUUCUUUUCAGGUAAGAAGGUUUUACAUGGCUAUCUUAUUUAGAAUUUAGGUGUUUUAUAGAACUAUGGGGGAACCAGAGGACUUUCUUGUGUGGGAACACAAGUGAGAUAGUUUUAAUUCCUUUGGGAGUUUGUAUUGAUUCUUGGAUCAAAUCAAAGACAUGCAAUAAGAAAAUAACUCUAUUUGCUUCGCACUCUCUCCCUUCUCUAAAGUGCUACUUGUGCCAUGCUCUUCUCAACAUUUAUGGAGAAAUAUUCGAUCAUGUGAGUCAUGUUCGCAUGAGAUGAACCCCCUUCUUUCAUAGCCUCCACAGCCUUCUUUCCAAGAAUCUUUGCUCUCUCUUUUCUCGCUUGCCCUUCCUUCCCUUCAUCCAUCAGCAUGCUCACAGCCUUCUCUACAUCAUCCCUUCCAACAAAAGGUACUCUAUUGUCGUCUCCAAACAUGCCUGGCUCCUUAACCCCGAUAGGUACUCCACUGUUCAGAACAUCCACAACCAACCUCUCGUUCAGGAACUGAUCACCAAAUUGAGGCCAUGUCACCAUUGGUAUGCCAGUAGUGAUGCCUUCAAUUGUCGAGUUCCACCCGCAGUGAGUAAUGAAACCCCCAACCGCUGGAUGUGAUAGGAUCAUCACUUGCGGGGCCCACCCUUUAAUUAGAAGACCUCUUGCACUAACCCGCUCUUCAAACCCUUCUGAUAGCCAUUCGUCUACGGCUUGAGAUUUUUCAAUGUUCUUGAUCACCCAAACAAAUGGCUGGUUUGAGGCUUCCAAUCCGAGCCCUAUCUCCAUAAGUUGGGUAGGUUUGACAUGCGUUAGACUACCAAAGCUUACGUAAACAACUGAUUUAGGUUUCAUUGAAUCAAGCCAACCUAGACAUCUGUUUGCAUCAAUGGUUGCCUUGUCUCCUCUUGUGGCCGUAUAACUGGCAUCUUUGUGGUAAAAAAAAAGUGGGCCAACUGUCCAUACCUUCUUACCCAUGGCAUUUUGGUAGCUUUCAAUAUGCAAAGCUUCCAAACCAUCAAAGCUAUUCACCACUAUUCCAUCGGCCGCCAUCUCAGCCUCUCGCAGCUCUUUGGCGAACUCUUCCCAGCCAGGUGCUGAAAAAAACCCUGGUGCUUGAGCUUUGGUCACCUUAAUCUUUUCAGUCAAUCCUGGCACAAUGAAGGGCUCAUUCUCAUCAGUGAUAUCAUCAUAGACCUUGUACUUGGAAAUGUUGUGAUCGCACAGGAGGGUGAAGCAGCAGAUACUAAAGAAUAUAAGCCGAGGGACCUGAAGAUUGCUGGCUACCUUAUUGGUCCAAGGGUGGCAGAAGUCUGAUAUAAUGCAAUUUGGGUAUGAUACAUGCUCUUUUAAAUAUAACUCCAAUGGCUUUUGAAGAAGUGCAAUUGCUUGAAAAAAAUUGACCAUGAGAUCCAUUGUUGGCACAACAUCAAGGUUCUCACACCCAUCAGGUAGUCCCAAUUCUGCACCUGGGAAUGGGAGCUCAACAAAUUGGAUAGGAAGGCAGCAUUCUUUAGCAUGGUUGAUGGUGGUUUGGAUUCGAGAUGCAUUAAAAGGAGUGGUAAUAAGACUGACCAGCACGCCACGUUUAGCUAGCAGCAGCGCAAGGUCAAUCAUGGGGAUCAUGUGGCCCUGGGCCAUCAAAGGGACCAGAACGAAGUGUGGCUUCUGAUCGCUUAAACCGUUCAUGGCAAAUUGGUUGGUCAUUUUGAGUUUGUAAAUGGUUGGUGGUCUAUCUAUAUGAUAACUCGGAUAUUGCUUCUAUAGUUCUCCUAUUCAUCAAUUUAUAGAGGACUAGAAUGGUGGAACACUGCUUUUCUUAUUUGGUCUUUUCUGCUCUAGUCUUUUUGUGAAUGACAUUAUUUAUGCAAUUUAGCUUAGCGUUUUCAACAAGGAGUUUUCUUGCUAAGCCUUUUGUGGCCCUUGUUCUUGCUGUUAUCCUUUUGGAUGCCUUAUUAUAUCUCUGUCGUAUUGUCUAAUAUCUGAUGAUUCCUCUCACUUAAAACAGCUGAAUAAUGCUGAUGUGAGAUGUUUAUCUUGUUCCUGUUGUUCUAUGUGAAGAGGUCUUCAUUUAGUAUCCUUUUGUUUUAUUUUGGAUGUAGCAGACUACUUUUAUAUAUUU